rnacentral:lncRNA from 1 species
CUAUUUUUCAAUAACACGUCUCCCUCUUUGCGCAGAGAGAUGUGCCAUAACCUGGGAAAGAACAAAACACAGGGUCCUGAUACCGGGAAGAAAUCCGGUUUCAUCCCCCUUUUGAUUUAAGCCUCCCCAGCAGCUUGUCGUCUGAAGCGCUCCCUCUCCCUCCGAUACCGAUACCCAUCCGUAGCCUCGCUCUGUGCAGGGAAAGUUGCACGGGGCCGCCCGCCCGAUGGAGCCGCGACUUCUCUGAGCGCUGCUGCCCCGAGGUGAGUCCCAGCGGAGCGGCCGCGGGGCGGGAGCCGGGGGCGGCAUCGCCGGGCUGCGGGCGGCCCCGGGGCGGCGGGAGAAGGCGAUGAGGGAGAGCCGAGCGGAGCGGCCCAACAAGUUUCCCUCAGGUAACAUUUACGUUAGCGCUGCUGAGCUGGUGUAAUGCAAGGAGGGACACAUCAUGAAAUGGAAACAUUAUCCUUUUUUGGUCAUAGUAGCUGCAUGCAGCCUUUCCAGAUGUCAUUACUUACUGGGUCAGCUUAUUCCAGGUAGGUACCUUUUAUUUAAACAUUAACAUUCAUAUUUUUCAGAAUCAUUUUUAUGAUGUCAGUGUGAAUAAGUGCAUGUAUAUACAUAAAACUCUCUCCAUAUGUUAAUGUGUGUGGGGGGGUUGAGUUUAUUAAUUUAUGAGUAUAUCUAUCAAAAUGCAGAAUUUAAUAAGUACUGGGGUGUCUGUGCUGCAAUUAAUUGUUUGUCUUGAUUAUUAAGGGCAAUAUAUAUAAAAAAGGGGGGCCUGAAAAUCAAAGUAAGAAAAUAUUAAGGUGGCUGUUAAAACAUUCCUUUGAUUAUUACUGUUGGAGGGGGGAAGAAUACAAAGUGCAGAAACUGAUUUGAAGAUCAAAGAGAAUAGGAAAUCUAUAGAGAACCUUCCUGAAGAAGGAAAACAGCAGGCCAUUGCAAACGGGAAGUAGCUGAAAUGCUGCAUCUUCGGUGAAAUUCUACAUGCUGGUAAUCAUGCCAGCGUCCAUAUGUGGAAAGUCUUGCUAACGUGGAGAGAGAGGUAAUAAGUGUGUUUGAAAAACAGCAAAAUGCUGUCCAGCUUGAAAGGGAAGGUGGUAAAAUAGGUAACUUAUGUCAUUCAGCUGCAGCAUGCAGUGGUUUUGUGGUUGAAGCAAAGUACAGGAAACAAAAUCUGUUUGUUUUUUUUUCUUUCUUUCUUUAGAAUAAAUCAGUAAAAAUGUCUUCUGCGUCAUUCUGAAUUAUUUUCAGUAUUUGUAAUGAAAAAAACAAAACAAACUUUGAUUGUUACUGCUAAUAAUGUACGCUCUUUCAGUAAAAUGUAGGAAGAACCAGUAGACAUAAAAUGAAAAUAUGAAAGUAACGUACUGAUUUUUUGGUGUGGUAUUUUUCUUUCCUGUUUUGUAUUUGGAUAGUAAUGUAAAGACUGUACUGCCUGGAUUUCUAACUUGAAUACACUGUGCAUACAGAUUUUUUUGCCUGUACAAUUCUUCAUAUAUACGAAAGCAACUAGCUCAAACAUAAACUACUCAAUGAAGAGAGAAAGGAAAAGAUUUUUCCUUCAAAGGUUUCUUUACCUAUAAUGAAUGGUGUGGCUCACAGAAUGUAAAUUAAGGAAGUGAAUUGAUAUUGUGUUUUUUUUUUCCUAUCUAAUUUUGUUGGAUUCAAAUGCAUUAUGUAGGAGAUGCAAAAAGACUCCAGAAUAAAGUAAGAUGCAAGUUAAAAUUAUCAUUUUAAAAGUUUGACCUCAGACUUCAAAAACCAUUUCAAAGCAAUUUACCUGUCAGAAAGACAUCUACCACUCUUUUUAAAAGGAAUGCCUGCAGAUCCAAAUGUAUUUUGCAUGAUAGCUACCUCCAACCACUUGCAUUGGUUUCAAUUUAGUCCUAGUUUUGUAGAUACUACUAAAAAGGCUGUUGGCAUUGUAUUACUUUUUCCAUCAAAUUAGUUUCAGAAUAAAAUCUCAGGCGGCAUUUUGAUUCUGUCCCUGCUUUGUAAUUUUCAUCACAGAUCCAGUGCUUGAACCAGGAGAUUACUCUGCUUAGCCAAACAUCAGUGUGCUCAGCCUGGCUGGCAGGGUGCCAGAAGUGUGAAUAUCAAAAUGAUCAAAUAUAGCAUGGAGGGUUUUUUUUUGUUCUUUGUUUUUUGUUGUUGUUGUUGUUGUUGUUUAUUUGUUUAUUUUCUUGAAGCAGUUCAGCCCAUUCAUUUUUGCUCUUUUCAUGACUUUUUCUUACAAAGCUUGUCUCCCCCUUUUUUUAAUUGCACAGAAAGAGAUCUGUGCAAAAUCUGAAACAUUUUCAUUCACUUAAUUGUGGGGGAGAAAUAAUACUUCUUUGGAAUUCUGCUGUAUUCUUUACCACAUACAGAUAGAUACAGAUAGAUACAUAAAUAUAGGAAGAGAUUUUUCAGAGGAUUGCUUAAAGCAAUAAACAGCUAAAGUGUGUCAGAUCAUAGUACUGUUAAUUGGUAUAUUAUUGGUUCCUUUGGUUUGUUUGUUUUGCAUUGUUUUGUUUCAGUGAGAAAAAUUCCUUUCAAAAAUCAUUUAAUCAAUUAUUUUUAGAUAAGUUUUUCCCUUGUUAUUAAAACCUUAAAAAAUGGAGUUUUAUUGUUUUAAGCUUUCAAAUUCUCCACAUCAAGAAUUGUUCCUGCUUACUGAUGACAAACUCUCAGAAAUUUGUUAAUGCUUACCCUCAGAAGUAGAAUUCUUGACUUCAGUAAAAUGUGAUCAAUUUUAAUGGUGAUCUCAUAACUUUGAAACAUUUACUACCAUUUUUUCUCAAUCUUUUCAUAUAUUCUUGUUUUGUCUCGCUCUUUUGCAUACGGGGUCCACAGGGAAGUACUGUCUCCCCCCUUUAUUAAAAUCACGGCUGAGCCUUUCAUCUCAUGUCAUUACAUCUUACCUCUAAUUCACAUAUAAAAUACACUCGCUGUUCCACUAUGGCUGUCUCCUGAGGCAUGAAGUACCUCUGCCUUGGCACAUCUUUAUUUAAUCAGGAGUUGAGCAUUAUCUGGAAGGAUGUGAUUUUUUUUUCUUUCCAGUUGCUCUGCAUAUUUAAAAGCUGAAUAACUUGAUCAUUGAUUUAAAAGUGCUCUGAUCUAAGAAAACACAGCAUUAACUAAUGCUAUAUUAUGUUUGGAUGCAUACAUUUUUCUCCAUGUUUUCAGUUAUGUCAUUGAAGUGUUUUAAAGAUUGCAUUUACUACAUUGUCAAAAAUACUUAAGUACAACAGAACAACUUCAAAUCCCACAGGUAGAAAAAGUCUUGAAUAAUUUAAAUAGGACUACUUUUUCUCAGUUUAAAUUAAUAGAGAUGGGCACAACCGUUUCAGAUUUGUGAUUUGAUAGCAAAAGCAGUAGAAGCAUUUCUCAUGGACCUGGCUGGGCCUGUGAUCGGGUCCUUAGAAGGCAGUAUUGUGUAAUUGAAAGUAUUCUCCAUGUGAAGUGGAAUAGGUGCCACAUAUGUGGGAUCUAUUCAAACUUUCAGCUUUACAGAAAUACCUGGAAAAAGAAAACCUUGUAAAACCUUAUAAUGACAAUUUUUAAUGCUCCUGGCAGAUUUAAUAAUAUAAUUGUUCUAAGGGAAUUCUUGGAGAGAGGAGGAGGAGGAGAAAACUUCUUUUGAAUUUAGCUUUUUUUUUCUUUUAAGAUUUUGGUAGAUGUUACAGACCUUCAUAAUCUACAAAUUCUAUCUCCCAGUACUUCAGUAAAUGCUAAUGUUAUACUGUUAUCCCUAAUUUUCAAGUAAAAUUGAUUGUUUUUCUGAUAUCUAUUCUGAUUUUUAAACGUUACUGCAUUUUUUUUCCUCCAGAAAAUAGGUUUCCCUUAGGAGAUAGAGUUAAAUAACAAAGCAUAAUAUGUAAAAUAUAUGCAACAAAGUGUAGAUUUGAGAAUAAUGUUUUGCCAGUUUAAGUUUUAAAUAGAAAACCCUACAACCUUCUCUGAUAAUCAUAGGAACUUGCUGAAAUCCCGAAGAGAAGCAGCCCAGGACUUUGCUUCCUGUAGAGCAGACAAAAAUAUUUCAAACUUCAUUUUCCCUAAUAAUUCUUGGCUUACUAUUAAAACACUGAAGAAAAUACCUUGGCUGUCAUAGUUUGUCCCUUUUGACGUGAGACUGUUAUUAAUCAUAAUUAAGCUUUCAUAAAUAGAAUUCUUAUUUUUUCACUGCCUCUAAUGUUUGAGUAUGUAUCUUUUGCCUAUCUUUAAAGACAUGCUACGGAGUAAGUUGUCAUUUUUGGAAUCUAAAAAUUUGCUGUUGAGAGCUUUCAUCAAGUUGAUCAUAUUUUACUAUCAUAAGUAGCCAUUUAGUUCAGCCUCUUCAAGGAUAUUAUUUGGCGUGGGUUUUUUUGUUUUCUUUUGUUUUGUUUUUAAUAUAAAUUAACUUUUCAGUCCUUUAGAAUCUGUAUUCUGGAUAGUUAACACAGCUUACAGAUUUGCAGGUGUCCUUUGUUACCUGCUUUUCAAACUGCUGAAAUUAUCUGAUUAUGGUACUCUGGGUUUGUAAGUGUUUGAUACAUUUUAACAAGAAAUUUUAUGUUAUCCUGGUUUUCUUACAACCUAUGAAAUCAUCAUGAAAAGAUGGCUCCUAACACUGAAAUAUCCUCAUUUGCUGCUUCAUAAAGAUUCAUUCUCCUAUAGUUUUAAAGUGCCUGAAUGAAAUUUCGAUUAGAUAUCCAAAAUAAAUCCCUCAAUGAUCUGAGUAAGGUAUUGAAUAGUUCAGUUGAAGAAUGUACCUAGUUUUACGGUUUUGCAGGUUUGUCUGAGAGCAAUAUUAAAAAAAAAAUGAAAUGUUCAGCCCCACUUAAUCCACAAUUUAACUACUGCCUGUCUUUUGACACUGCCUCAGAGGCAAAGGAAAAUGGAUUCAAAUUCUGUACAAGCCCCUGUUUGUGAAACUGUAAAGGACUCACUGAGCUAAGGAAAUUAAGAGUGACCAGUACUCCCUUGAUACUUUUUAAAGAGUAGAGGAUAUAGAUUUGCAUUCUUUCAUCUGGAAAGUAUUUGAGAAUAGAUUUCACCCAUUCUGAGUGAGUUAUGUAGCAGCUGAGCUGAUAGUCAAAAAGAUGGCAUUUCUUUUGAUUUUAUUUUUUCUAAUGGUUUAAAGUAGUGAUGCUCAUAAUUAUUUUGUGGUGGGCCAGUAAACAUUUCAGAGUACCUAGACAGGAAAGUCUAGUUUGUAGGUCAGUGGGGAAAUAAGAGAAAGGAUAGAUGCCAAAAACCUCACAACUUAUGUAAACCUGAGCCUUCUCAGGAAGAGGUCUUUUAGUCCCAUAUUAAUUCUGAAGUCGAAAGGACAUGAUUUCACAUGAUCAGAUUUUUACAUAUGAGUCUCCAAUUUCCAUAUAAAUUCCUCUUAUUCUUUAGUUGAAUAUGAAACAAAAUGAAGAUAACGUCUAGCUACUUCUGAUUAAAGACAUAUGUAUAAGAUUGAAAGCGUGUAAGUAAGCACAAUCACAGAAAAACUGAGGUUUCAAUGCAUGUCUGGAGGUGAUCUUGUCUGAUUUUUUGCUCAGAACAGUGCUAUCAUCUGAGUUAAAUCAGGUUGUACAAGGUCUUUUCUAGCUGAGUUCUGAGAGUCUUCUUGGAUGGAAAUUUCAUAAGCUCUUUGGGGCACUUUGGUGUAUUUUUCUUCCCUCCCUAGAGUAAGUUAAAACUUCUAGUAUUGCAGUUUGUGACUUUUGCUUCUUGUCCUUCCACUGUGCAAGUCUGGCUGGCUUUCACUUCCACGAGACUUUCUGUAAGGUAGCUGAAAUCUGUAAUUAGACUUCUGUCUCAGAGAUCGGUACGCUAAACCAACCCAACUUCCGUAACCUUUCCCUGUUUUUCUGUAUGCCUCAGCCUCUGACCAUCUUAGGGACUCGUGGGGAUUCUUCCCCAUUUUUCUAUUUCUCUCUUGGAGCAAACGGUUCAAGAAUGGAUGCAUUCUUCCAUGUGCAGACUCAUUAGUGACAGCUAGAUAAAGCAAAUCAUCCCUUGACCUGCUGAUUUUGCUCUCACUAAAGCAUCCCAGAUUGUUGGUAGCCUCCUCUCGGCAAGGGCACACUGCCAAUGCAAAUUCACCUUAUUCACUAGAAGCACAGAUUAAUGUCAUGCUCUUAACUUCCCAUCAUAUACCUUCUGCCACCAAAAGGAACUGUUGACAAACCAGUGGCAAGAAAUACUUUAUUUUCAUUCACAUUCUCUAACUGUGUUAUUUUCACAGGCUUUAAUGUAUAUUGGUAUUGACUAUAAAUUACAUCUGUGAUUCUACUUCUCUGUAACUUUGAUAAAUGUAUCUGUAAGUGAUGCAUAGGAAGGGAUGAUAAUGUAUUUUUUUCUUUUAUACGUGCCUUGAAGUUUGUAGAUAGUGAUCAAAUUCAGAGAAAAUAGACAGAUCAGGCUUCGUAGAAGUUAAGAAUCUUGUGGAAAGUUGUGUUUCUAUCAUUUGCAUCCAAUUAACUUGAAGCAGACAGAACUGAGAUUUAAAAAACAAAUGAUAAAGUACAUACAUUUUGUUUAGGCCUUAAAAAGAUGAAUCUUACAGCAAAAAUAUUUUAGAAGAUAGAUAAAUAACAGUUUUCCUCUCUUUUUUUCUCCUUUUUUUUUCAUCUGUGUUCUCAGAACAACCAGAUUUGUUUGUGUAGGAACAUAGUCCAUACUGUAAUCUUUUGAGAAAGGGAAGCAGUACAGAUGAAAUCAUCUAAUCUGACCACUGUGCAUUCCUAUGCAUAUGUAUAAACAUUUGUAAAUAUAAGCAACAACAUGCAUUUAUCAGAUGAUAACUGACUGAAAAGAUAUUCUGUCUCACGUAGUAUCCUUUGAAGUGCGGGUUAAUAUGUCAUCUCUGCAAAAUAUUUGCAAAAUAUUGAAAAAUACUGAAAAAUUCUUAAAUCACGGCAUUCAUGAAUUGAAUUCUCAGAUUAUUUCACAUUUCUAUGCUUUAUGGUGUCAGUUUGUUUUUCUUACUUGUUUUUUUUUUUUUUUUUUUUUUUUCCGGGGAUGGUGUUUGGUGAAGUAGGUAAAGGUUUGGAAUUCUUAUCAGUAGAAAUAUCAUGCCUUGAAAGAGGACAAAUGUUGAAGCAGGAAAAAAAAUCUGGCACUUGCUUUGCCUUCCAGAGGUUGUCAGUGUACACUGAGAUCUUAAUAAAUGAAAAGAUUGCCAGCUGUACUUCAAUUAAUGGCUUCUUUAGUAGCAUUUAAAAACAAAUAAAUAAAACAAUAUGCUUUAUUUCAAUGUCUGACUAUAUGGAGAUAAAGCAAGAGGUUGAGUAAGCUGUAAGACACUUAAGGAAGAAAUUCGUAUUCUUAAUCUAGCUGUACAUCAUGCAACUAUUCUGCUUUGAUGAUGUGACCUCUGUGAUGAACCUGGCUAGUAGAGCACAUGUGCUGCACCAUCUUCCUAAUUAAGUCAUCAGAAUGCACUGGAGCAAACUGAGUGACUUGCAUAGACCAGUAUAAGUAAUUUUAGUUCCUCUAUUGCUUGGUUAAUAGAAAGUGGCACUGUUCUAGAUUAUGACUGAUAGAGGUUACAUGCUACAGCUGCUCUUAUUGUGCCUGUAGGUAGACCAUUUUAUAAGCAGUUUCUGUGCAUAUGUAACAAGGGGGCACUGUUAUUUCUUUCCCUUUUUACUUUUUGAGGAUGUAAUCAGAGACAUAUCUUCUGCCCCUCCCCCCCCCCAACCCCCCAGAAGUCCUUAUCUACAAUUAUUCUCAAAGCACAGAGGUAGUCUACUUGUUUUGAAUUCAGUAAAGGAACUUUUUCCAAAACUGAUCUCAAAAGGAAAGGAUGUCUACUGGAACAAAUAAAAAGAUAAAGAAAAAAUGUCAGUGGUGACAACUGGGCUCUUAAGAAAAAAGGAAAUAUUUUUGAUAGGGAUUUCAAAUGGCCUCAGCUUAAGCCUUUGUAAACACAUGGUAUGGAUUCUGAACCUUUUAUUGGUAUUCUUCACAAAUAGUCUCACUUGAAGCUUUAGAGGAGAAAUAUGGUUGUUGGGUUUUUUGUUUGUUUUUUGGUUUUGUUUGUUUGUUUGUUUGUUUUUUCAUUUCCUUUCUUAGAGACAAAAAUACAAAAAAUAUCAGACUGGCAUAGUCAGGCCUUGAAAAUCUCUCAUAGUCAUUAUAAACUUAUUGUAAGAACAUUUGCUGGUAUACAUAGUUCUGUGGCACUCCAGAGCAUAUAGCAAGGCUACUGUGGAGGAAUUCGUGUGUAAUAAUCUAAGAAUGAAUUCUCUUGAAUUCUGUAAUUUCAUGAAUGUUAAUGAAGAAUGUAUGUAUUUAUAGAUAAUAGAAUUUUGACCAGAAAUCGUUCUACAUAAAUUAAAACAAAACAAAAAAAAAGUGAUUUUUUUUUUUUUACAUAAUUGAUAAAUUGUCCUGAGAACAGUCUUCAGUUACAAAAGUGCAGAGCAAAAUGGCAUAGUCUCUAUUGAAUCUAAUCUUUAUUUAGGUAAUCAGUGUGUUAGACCUUCAAAGCAACUUAAUGACUUUAACAUCAAUUAUAAAACUAAUUUCAGUCAUAUCAGUGGAAGAAUGUAAGAAUUUACAAGGAUGUUUUCACACUUAUGACUACUCAAGGGGUUUCUGCAGGCUUAUCUACACUUGCUAAUUUAUUUUUAGUGCUGCGUAAUAUGGUGCCUAGGGAUGCUUUAUUAAAUAUUUUACAAUGUGUCAAAUAUAUUUGUACAAUUUCUGCCUUGAUAAAAAGUAGUUUACAUAAACAUGUAUCUAUAUAUUGGAAAAAAAAAUCCUUUUUCAUGGACUGUUAGCUUAUUUUUGCACAAGAUUCACAGGAAAUUUCUACCUUUUGUCUAGUGUGAAUUUUAAAUCAUAGUGGAACUGUUGAAACAAUAUAGGUCAUAUUUUAAUCUUUUACUCAUCCUUAGCUAUUGAGUUAGUUUGACACUAACAUCUGUAGUAUUUAUAAUGUAUACAUUGUCAUGUUAUCAGUACAGCAGUGAAUAAAUGACUAGUUGCUGUGUGUUCCUUAUUCCAUUAUUUUUCAAGUUUAUAUUUUUGUUAUUAACAGCUUAACUAUUUUUCCUACAUUGUUGACUGUAUGUUGGUAGUCAAAAUAACAUGUCAAGUAUGCUGUGUAUAUUACUUCCAAAUCAGUCAACCAAACUUACUCUGUUGAAUGAAAACAAAAAAAACACCUGUCCUUUACAAAUGAUUUUUGCUUAAGGCAUUCUUACAGGCUACCAUGAAGAUAAAAGACCCUUUAACAGUGCUGUGAAGCACAUCUGGUUAGCCAUUUACUGUUAAGCUUCUAUGUUUAGACAUUUCUUUAAUUAUACUUCUGGAGGCUUUUUUCUUCUUUUUUUUCUCCCCAACAUUUCCCCACGGAUAAAAUUUAAUGAUAUUAUUUAUAACUUGCUUUAUAAAUUAGAUCAUAGAUGACUGAAGUUUAUGCCUUCUUCAUCUUGACAUGCAGCUGAUGUGACCUCCAAGGUCACACUUUUAAUAUAUGAAAAUAAAAAGGCAGCUAGGCAACUCAUGGUACCUAACAAAGGGAUGCAUGGCUGUUUAUCUUUUUUCCUUCCCCCUCUCUCCUUUAUUUGCAAUUAUACCCUCCAGGGUUUCUUUUACUUACUGCACUUCCUAUUAAGUAUGAUUAAACUGUUCCCAGUUCUGGGUACAUCCAUCUGAGUCUUCAGAGUUAAACAUGUAGGUGUAAAAUUUAAGAUUUUUGUAGAAUCAUAGAGUCAUAAAGGCCAGGGCUGGAUGAGACCUAAAGAUCAUCCAGUUCCAACCCCUUGCCAUGGGCAGGGCUGUCACUCAUCAGCUCAAACUGCCUGGGGUUCCAUCUAACCUGGCCUUAAGUGCCUCCAGGGAUGGGGCACCGCCGCUUCUCUGGGCAGCAUGUGCCAGGCCCUCACCACCCUCUGAGUAAAAAUAUUCCUUCUAACAUCUAACCUAAAUCUCCCCUAAAUCUAAAGCCAUUCCCCCUUAUCCUAUCACUAUCAGACCAGGUAAAAUGUCAGCCCCCCUCUUGUUUAUAAGCUCUUUUCAGGUCUCUUCAAGGCCACAAUUAGGUCUCCCUAGAGACUUCUCUUAUCCAAGCUGAACAACCCAAAAAAGCUUUCUUCAUAGAAGUGCUCCAGCCCUGUGACCAUCCUCAUUGCCCUCCACUGGAUCUGUUCCAAUAGCUCCACAUCUUUACUGUUUUGGGGGCCCCAGGCCUGGACACAGUACUCCAGAUGGGGUCUCACAAGAGCUGAGUAGAGAGGGACAAUCACCUCCCUCUCCAUGCUGGCCACCUCUCAUUUAAUGCAGCCCAGGAAACUGUUGCAGAAAGAAGUUAGCAUCUGUUCUAAAAUGUCAGCGGUUUGGAGACAUGCCCACUCGUAUUGGUUUCUCUUUCUACUUUUAAUUUGGAGCUGUUGCAGGGGAGAAAGAUUCUUUAUACUAUUGUUGUUUUAGCAUUUGCCUUUAACAAGAUGGUUUUGAUAUGUCUUAAAAUACACAGAUCAAAGCUGAUGCUUGAAUCCCAUAGGACUCUGUCCUAAAUUUUCAAAAAAUGCAGACUACACUAUGUUAAAACUAAAAAUGUAGAAAAACUAGGAAUGGUGAUUACUGUCUACCUUCCUGCCUAGUUUAUUUUCCAUUUCUUUAAAAUAUACAAUUUUCAAAAUUUCUAUGUCCUUGAAAGGACUUGCUGUACAGAGAGGUCAAAAUGUUAACUUCGAGUUCAUUUCUUUCCAGCAUUCACACAGCUUGCCCAAAUUGAGCUCUCUGCUCUCAUGGCUAGAUUACUUAUGGGACAUGAGCUAGCUUAUUUAAAGCUAGUCUGGAAACUUGACUUUACACUGCAAUCUGCUGUUCUUUUACUGUCUGCUAUCUUUAUUUUAUACUGCAGCUUUUCUUGCAAGGCUUCAUGGUGUUUUAUCCUACUGUAGACAUUUUUAAAAAUUGUAAUAUAGCUUGCAAUUGAAAUAGACAUUUAAUUUCUGUGGUUUUACUCUUCAGAAAGAUUCCAUUAGUACAGGUUUUUGUUGUUGUUCUUUUGUUUGUUUGUUUGUUUGUUUAGUUUAGUUUUGUUUUGUUUUCUCCUGUGGCUUUUGAAAGACUAUAUAGACAGUGGUGGUUUUUCCUGGUGUUCUUUUUUUUUUUUUUUUUUUUUUCCUUCAAGAAACAUUAUAAGAAAAACUUGUGCAUGCUUUAGCAGGAAAUCCUGAAUCAUCAAGUAUUUCAAAGUUGUUACGUGCAGUCAGAAAAAGGAUGGCUUAAGGUCAGUCAUAGCUUAUGAUGGUAUUCUGUCAGUGUCAAGUCUGGCUUUGAGCUCACAUUCAAGAUAUUUAACCUUUCUAUUACUGGAGAAAUUCCAAUCAAUCUACGUUACAGUCAUCUUGCAAGAAAUAAAGGAAAUCCCUUGGUCAGCAUUUGCAGAACAGUCAGUUUUGCUAAUUCAGAACUGUCAGAAUCUUAUCAUUAGAAUUGACUAGUCUUUCCUCUUGUCAAAAAGAAGUGGAAGCAACAAUAUUGUACACAACUACAGCAUUUUUUUUUUUAACUGAAGGAAAAUCUAGAGUAAAACUCUUUAUUUAUAGUCUGAUUGCAUGAAAUCUUUAUUAUAAUAGAUGAUAAUUCUUGUACAUAACAAAGCAUAAGCAAUAUUUUAAUACUGCGGAGCCAAUUUAACAAAUUCCAUUCAAGGGCCACAGGGCACUUGUAGCCACCAUUAAAUUUUGCUCAUGAACUGAUGUGUCAAAUUAAAAAGUAAAGUGAUUUUGAUGAAGACUUCAUCUUACUUCCCAUUUUAAUCUUUAAUAUAUUUCUGGAGAGGGAAAAAAAAUUGUGGGACAAGAACAGGAAAAAGAGGAAGAGAACAGAAACACUGGUGCAGAAUGGCUGCUAAUGUAGAAACAGAAAUAGCAGGAGGCUGAAAAUAAAUGUGGGAAGUCUGGAUUUCAUCCUUCACUACUGUCAGAGAAUGAUGUUCUACUUGUGCUUUACUGGAUUGGAUAGUAUGAAGGGAUCUGUAUUUCUGCCUCCCUUAGACUACAAGAUAGAGAAGGAGUUGCUAUUCUGACUUCCAUAUUAAGAUGACUUUGGGGACUUACUGCUUAGUCCCAGAAGUUAGAAAGUGCUCCUGGUGUGCAUACUUUUAUUCUGAGACUGUCUAGUUCCUUAUGACGAAGGACAGUAGGAGGGCUGGCCAAGAAAAUGCCAGUGAAAUGUUGUGAAAAGUUCAUCACCAUUACUCAACUGAAUGAAUAUCUUUUGUGUCAGUUGAGAACAUUUGCACUCGAGGUCUAUCUAUGUCAUAUUACCAUGUUUAGUAAAAGAUAUAAUUUCAUGCUGUCCAUGCUGUCAAAACUGCCUUUGAAGAUAUCUAAUGUGUACAAUAUUACUCUGUAUGUAUACUAGAUGUGUCUUUGCACAUACAAUAUUGCCUUUUGUGUUCUAUUUAUUUGGUUUAGAUAGAUCUAACUAGGUGGCAGGGAGGACAGAGGAGGAGGAAGAAAGGAAAAGGUGUGCAGAAGGGUAUAAAGGGAUGGAAGGGAAGACAAAGGAAGUAUUUGCUGAAAGAAUUUCAGAGGGGAUUUCACAAAUACCUAGAAGAAUUACUUGGGAGAAUAGAGUAGAGGAUUGUGUUUUUAUAGACUUACUUCUUAUGGGACAAUUUCUUUAUCUAUCAUAUUUCUAUAAUUCAAUACUGAAUGCAUUGUGCUUCCAGACUGCAGCCAGGAUGCUAGCAUUAAGAACUGCUGAUGUUAUAUUGCCUGUUGUAUAUACUAUGUACCUACAGAGAACUGGAAUACAUUCAUGCAUCUGCCAGUGGUUUCUUAAGUGGUGCUGUGAAAAAGUCUUCAUUAGUGGUCCACACCUCAUUGCAUGAAUUGUCUAAUUUUAUUCUCAGGGUCCCAUUUUCUAGCAGCUCUAAACAUUCACCAUUAGAAUUAGACAUAAUUAUUUUUUCCUGUCACAGCAGAAUAAUACUAGUGUGUAAAAAAUUAUUUUAAAAUGAUAUCUGCUAUGUCUCAUUUUAUCUGUAUGAAAGUCAUGGAAAAUUUUAGUAUUUUGGAUGAUAGGCUUCAAUUCCUUUCCAUUAUUAUAAUGGUAGAAAUAAUACUGUACAGGGGAAAAACUAUAUUUAAUACUUCUGAAGUUCACAUACUUAAAGAACAUAGUGUGCUAAGAUAAUGUUAAAAUAAUACAGUAUAAAUUUCUCUUAUUCUGCUUUAUAGUGUAGCGUAUCUACUCAUUCAUAGGUCUGAUUUUCUUUGUUUACAGGAUUUGGGCAGGAAAGACUGAUAGUUUCAGAACUACUGUAUGUAAAACUUUGAAUGUAACUGUUUAGAAAUGGCGGCGUAUUUUAUUUUAAUAAUUUUAUAUAUAUUUUUAUAUAAUAUAUAUAUAUUUAUAUAAUAUAUAUAAUUUUAUUUUAAUAGUUUUAUUAAGAAAAAAAAUGAAACAGACAAACAAACAAACAAAAAACUUGAAAAAAUACACAAAUAUUUGCAAGGAGAAGAAAGAAUGUUCACAAAUUUCUUCUCAAAACAAGAAAUUAUGCAUACUUUCUGUUGCUGUAUUCUCUAGCUCAGUUUAAGGCUCCAGCCUGCUGUCCAGUCCCAUCAAACCUCUGUGAAACAGGCAACAUUUUUCAUCUUUGUACUGACACUUGGAAUUCUUCACUGAACUAGCUUCAUCAAACUAUCUAAUGUUUUAGAAACUUGCAUUUGAGUGGAUUGCUUAUGUUCUGAAUAUGUUAUACUCAAUAAGGAGAGACAGUUGCUGCACCCUAGAUGCACUGUUGUUGGGAUUGCCCUUUGUAGUUGCCUGUUGUCUCCUUUUACUAAAGAGUUUGGAUUUAACUUGGAUCAAAUAAAUCCCUUACUUGGUGUCUGCUAAUUCUCUUUUGUCAGCUAGACAGCUGCUAGACUAAACAAUGGAUAUGCUAUUAUUUAUCUUGCACGUGUACAUCUUGCAAUUAUCCAAGUCAAGGAUCAAGACAAAGAGUACUGUGGCUGUAUAAUAGCCCACGUGUUCCUGUUUUCUUUCCAGGAAAACUAAAGCUCUGGGAUAAAGUAUCUCAGUGCUUGUCUUAAGUAAUGAUCAAACUGAGGAAGUAGUGCAGGGUCCAAUAGUUUAGGUGUAGCAGGGCAGUCUUCGUUGGAUUUGAGAGGUCUAAUGAUGAUAUAUUACAGGAAAAUUAUUUUUCCCAGCUUACUGUGGCAACAAGGUCAAAAUAUGUAGAAGGCUUGUAGCUCUAGUGCAGAAUGGAGAGAGGUAUUUGCGAAUUAUUAGUAAGAGAGGAAAUGGCAACAUGUAAUAUAUUUCAUUACAUUGUUUGGACAAUGUGCUGUCAGAAAUGAGGAAUUUUGAAACCCUUAGGGAAGUCUUCAGCAUGCUCUUGGAAGGGACCAUGGAAGGAGCCUGCUGAAAAUCUUGAAGCAUGAGUCACAAGCUUCAGCAGCUGAGCCAGAGUGUGUCUGGUCUCAGAAGGGGAAAAAGAGUUAUGCCUAAAGUUUAAACUCCAGACACAGUGCCUGAAAGCUAAUCAGUCUCAGGAAACAUAAAAGUUCAACCAAGUAAAGCACAAGGAAAUAAAUUAGAGAGUAGUUACAAGGGUCUGAGUUUAUUUCAGCUGGCAUGUUAAAUGGAGGUAUAUGAGGUGGGGCCCCUCUGCAGACAAGGUUAAAUUGCGUUGAAUUAUUCCUUGAUUACUUAUGUCUCUGCCUUGACUAAAGAAGGAACCAGUAAUGAUACCUGGUGAGUGUCUGAUGUUAGAUCAAGUUUAUCAAGUCCAUUUUCUCACCUACAGAUCUUCCAUCUGAAGAUCUUUCUUGGCAAAUACUCCAGCUUCCCUCUCUAAACUAAUAAUCACGUUCUCUCAUUUUCUAUUGAGACAGAAACAUGUAUGCUAUGUACACAGUAGUACCAAAGUUAUGAAGCAGCCUUUACAUUACUUGCUCUGGUAUGGAUAAUUCUUAUUUAUAUUCCUCAGAUCCUUUAUGUUUUUGAGCUGUCCAUUUUGGAGGAUAGUAAGCCUUAGAGAGAGGUGAUUAAAUUGCAAACUAUUGCUCUUUGUGCCUACUUUUCUUCCCUUCUGUGGAAGAAAAAAGAAAAAAACAGCCAAUAAAACAUAUUUAAGGAUGUUAUUUAAAGGAACAACAUAUGAACUAUCAGAAGAAGUAAUUUAUUUCCAAGAGUUGCUAUGAAUAAUAAAACAUUAGUUCACAGUUCUAAGGAUGACAACAAAAUGAAAUGUUGCAGGCAAAUAUUGUGAUUAACGUUCAGCUUAUGAAAUGCAAGAGGUGUUCUCCCUUGUGAAUAAAGUCUACUACAUUACAUGUGCAAAAGAAUGGGAAGAAGUUCAGGUUUUACAUAAAGCUACUAUCCUAUCAUUUCCCAAAUAUUGUAUUCUAUAAUUUGCUCUUUUAAAAAUGUGUAUGAUAUCCUAGUUUUGCAUAAAGCCAAUGAACGUAUUCCAUUUAGUCUGAAAGUUGGAAUCUAUGUCUGUUUUAAGUCACUUGGCACAUUUUUAUAAAAUCCUGCAAUAACAAAAUGAUAAAUAAUGAGAAAAACUCACUCAGGUUAAAUUUAUAUAUUUUGAGUGCUUCUACCACAGCACUGUAUCUCUUCCAAAUAUACGUUUCUGUAUGUGCUUUUCUCAGUAGCAUUAAUAUUUUAACAUGUUUUUACCCUAUGUGCCUGUUUCCGCAUGAACUUAGAUUGUACAAAUACUUACUUGUGUUACAGAUUAAAUUCGAUGAGUAACAUUACUACUUUACAAAGCAGCCCCACAACCAGUGGCACCUUUCUAAAUAAGGUGGUGGUUGAAGAAUUCAGAAAAACAGACUGGAGAGCAGAAUGUGUCAGCCUUUCUCAAAAGCAGUGCUGGUGUAAGGUAAUAUGCACACUAUGUGCAUAUAGAAUAUAUAAUCCUAUAUAGAAUAUAGGAAUAGAGCACUGCAGGGAUAAGAAUAAACGUUUGCUGUUAAACUUGAUGCAUUUGCAAAAUCUUCUUUAUGGUAGUUAGAAAAGAAAUCAGAAUUUUUCAAGUUCAAGUGGCACUUUAAAUAUUGCUUUGUGCUACAUUUUUUUAAAAAUCACACUGCAGUUUUAAGUAAAAAUAUUCUCAAUUGUAAAAUUAUUGCUUAUUGUAAAAAUAAACCAUAAUUGUAAAAAUGAAUAGAAAUUAAAACAAACCUAUAUAGGUGCAUACAUAGAUAUAUACAUUGAAUGUGCCUGUCCAUAUCUAGACUGCUGCUCCAGGGAAAGACUUAAAAGAAGCAGAAAUAAAGCUAUGGGGAAAGUGUUUUUUUAUAAUAAUUAGAAGCAACAUAACUAAAUUAAAACUAUUUAAUUAAACUAAUUUAAAUUUAAAUUCAAGUACUUCCUUUGUACUCUUUCUCAUCUUGCAGGCUGCUUGAAAUUCAAAUGUUGAUCUAUUCAUUUCAAAGGCAUGAAAGUAAACCUUCAUAUUCCAACUUUACAAGCAUAUCCCAAUUUUCUAAUCUGGGAGAUGUAUAGAUCGCAUUUGUAUAAUCUUACAUACAGGUAAUAAACUCUCACAUUAUUUCAUUUCUUGAUAGCUUGCUUUUUUACUCUUCCUCCUAUACUCCCAAUCAGAAUCGAGAAAAUUUAAAUCAUCUCACAAUUACUCAUAUUUUCUCAUGUGGAUUAUCAGAAGCCUAUGAUAUUUUAUGAAACACAGUGGCUUGAUAAAGUGAAUUAGAAUUUAGAAAUCUAAUAUUUCUGCACUUGUUUUCAUAAAUAUCUUGUGUCUUUUGGAAUAUAAAAAUAGACAUGGAAGUAUCCUUAGAAUUACUGUGGGACCAGUGGAGGUUACAAUCUUUGAAAAUUAAUCGCUGCUCAUAAAUUCACCUUAUUUUCUGAUUAAUGACUCAAGAUGUUGAUGUUAGUGUUGUAUUACUCCUGCAUUUUUACAUAUUUUGUGAAUUAUAGACAAUGUUAUCACCCGGCAUUGCAAGCAUUAUGAAAAUACACAUAUUAUUAUCGCACUUCCUUUGAUGCUGUUUAUUACACAGACUAUUACAUGAAUGAUUUUAUUUCUCUAUUAAUAAAAGCCCCUCUAAUUUACACAUAUCUGAGUUGGUGCCCAAAUAUGGUUCUGAUAAAAUUUCCAUGUUAAGGAUGUAAUUCAGUGUAGUUGACUUCUAUAGCAGCGUGCAUCCAUACCUAAGGAUAUGAAAUACUGUAUUAUUUACUCAUUUCUGAAAAUUAUGUUGCAGGAUAUAGUCAUCAAAUUUCAAACUCUCAUUUCAGUAAGGGAGUAGUGAUCCUAGUUAAUAUGCUGAUACUGAAAAGAAAGAGAUGGAUGACUUUCAGUACUGGCAAACUGCCAAUUUCAUUAUUUCUCAAUCAUUAUUUUUCCAUACAACACUUUUUUUCUUUCCAUUUUUCUUUUCGGGUACUGAGUACUGCUUCUACUGAUGUGGUAUUAAUGGAACUGCUUAAGACUAAAAGCCAAACAGCCACAGAAAGCUCAUCAAGUAAUGUCUAUUUUUUUUUUAUGAUGAGCUGAAUGGAUUUUGAAGUGCAGAGCUUGUUCGUGUGUUAUGUUUUGCAAAACAGUGGUGUCCAAGUCUUGCAUGUAGCCUCCACUGAAAGGAACACCAGAUUGCUCAUACUGUGAAGUCCUUUCCUGUGAACUUAGCAUGGAUAAUGAGAGUACAACAUAAAAGUAUUGUGAAGAUGGCUAGCAACGGGAAAGGGGAAACAGCUAGAUAAAUAGCUGAGAAGUAUUUACUAAAUACAUUUGUGAAAUUAAUUAAAGAAAUGCAACAAAAGAGAGAAGAAAAUAAAUGAUGGACGUCCUAGAGUUUAUAUCCUUAUAGCAUUAUUUUUGGCACAUGCUCACUAGCUAUCAAAGAGAAAAUUUGAAGGCCAGUGAGCAGCUCCAGUAUGAGAAUUGGAGCUGUAGCCCAAAGGAAAGAGAAAAAGAGAAAGAGAAAUGGAGCCCUGGAAAUAAUACAUUUACUUUCUAAGAAAAAAAUGAGGUAAAAAAAAGAAAAAAAAUUAAAGGAUUCAGCUCUGAGUGGUGACAUGUCUGGUGACAUGCAUUAACUUCCAGCAUGCCACCAAGGGAGACUUUUUUGCUCACAAAAUACAAUUUAGACAUGUCAGACAGCCACUGAAGUUUUCUCACAAGCCUCUAAAGUCACUGUAUCUUUUUAAUACUUCUCCAUUAAAAUGCUUCAGUAACUCAGCCAACUACUGUACAUUCAGACAAAUGUGCCAGAAAACUUACAUGAUCACAUAUAAACAAUUUCUAAAUGGAUUCCUCAGGAAAUAAUUGUAUUAGUGAGUGGAUUCAGAGUAAGUGAUAUACAGUGUAAAUUAGUGUAGGGAGUAGGACUAUAUAAAACCAUAAAAUAAGCCCAAGAGGAAGCAAGACAAUGAAUCAUUAUUGUUAUAGAUUUUGCCUUGUAGAAGAAUUUUACAUGAAUUUUACACCAGAGUUUUGUAUAGAGAAGCUCACCCCAAAACAAAAAGAUAGUUACUAGUUACUAGGACAGAGAGAAAAAUUGAUUGGUAGAAAGAAAUUCCAAAUAUUUCACACUGCUUGUUUUUAUUUUAUCAUAAUGAUUUAAUAGUACAACUUCAAAUGAAUUCUGGAGCAAGAUAGGUAAUAAUCUGGUAGUUACCUGCCUUGCCAGUAUAAUUACCUGUUGAGAUAUUUUCAGUGUAGAAUACUACAAGCUAAGGAUUACAUUUCCUUUUCCUGGGCAUUUUGAUUUUUAGGGGAUUUAUUUUAAUUUGAAACCAAUUCUUAGAAUAUUGAAAAAAGUCAGUACCAGUCUUCAAGGAUUUUCCAUAUUUUGAGGAUGAAUUAUGUUGGAAUUAAAAUAAUUCUAUACUAAUCUUCUGAAAAUUAGCAACAGUGAAGAAGUGUUGCAAGUUCAUAAAAGAUCAACACUUUUUCUCUUUUGUAAGUGAUAAUUGUAGCCUGUGAGAAUUUCAUGAAUAUUUCUGAAGGAACUGAGACAAGAAAUAUACACAUGAAAUCCACUGUUGAAGCUUAAGAUGCUUACUGAAUGUGAGAUUCCAUUUCCAUUGGCCAAGUUUCUGUCAUUGUAUAAAGGCUAACUUCCAAGAUGGCUCAGGUUUUCACAGCAUGACCUCAGAAGAACAACAUUGCAAGACCAUUUGAGAGUUUUUCUUAGUUUUUUAUGUAAAUAACAAUUAUGUAUAUCAAAAUUUCCUAAUAGACUUUGAAAACUUCAGAAAAAUAUUAAGUCUAAAUAUGACAAAUUAUGGAAUGAGCAGAUUUCAUGCCUAUAGAAUACAGUGGUGAAAUGAGGUGGAUUCAAAGAGGGGAACUGCCAGAUAUAAUAAUGACUAUCAGUGGAGAAAGUACUCUCCAUACUUGCUUCCUUGUAAAUGCAAUGGGUGAUAAAGGCGAGCCAGAAAAAAAUGAAGACAAAUCUUUUUGUCUGGACACUUCACAACUCUGGAUGAAGCAGAAUACAGCUGAAAGAUUUGGAAAAUUGAUUCACAGAAGGUAACAAUAAAAUACUGGGUAAUAAUACUAGUAAUCACUCAAGCUAAAAGCAGGAAACACUUUGGUAUGGAAAGAAAAUCUGUAAAAAUGUGAGAACAUACCAUCAAUUGCUUUUAUAUAUCUAUUUAUAAAAUAUUCACUGAUACAGAAUCUAUAUAGUUGUUUGAAAAUGUGCUUUAUUGCCAGUCUGAAAAUUCAAAAUGAAUCCAUGAAUUCCACUAUGAUUCCUGUUAAUACUGUUCUGGCAUAUUUUUCUCAGUCAGAUAACUGAUUGCAGUACAUAGACUAAUCUACUUAACUUCUCUGGUUAAAGGGGCAUAUUUGUAAGUAUUGACUCAUUGUGAAGUUGCCGUAUGAAAGGAGAUCUCCAUCCAAAAGAUAUUCAUGCAUUAUUCAUGUUACCGUAAUAUUCACAUUUUCCCCAGAAGAUAUCAAAACACAGUAAACUUACAACAUAUUUAUAUGCAGUCUUUCUGUGCAAGUUAAAUCUUAUGUAUUUGAGAAUGUGCAUAAGGAAAAUCAUGUCAUGGUACCAGUAUAAAUUUCUGAGGAAAUUUUAGUUGGAUCACGUAUUACUUGUGUAUGUAUCAUGUAUGUAACAUGUGUCAGCAGCUCUGGACACCCGACAGCAGAGUUGGGUUGUUAGUUUCAAGGAACCUACUAUGUUCCCAGUGAGAGCCUGUCCAAGAAGUUUCUAGUGAGUAUGGACUUUCCUGGAAUUUUAGAGCAGCACAGACUGGAACAACCUUGGGAGGUUACUUCUGCUCAAAACAGGGUCAGCUACAAGGUCAUAUCAGUUCUUGAAGAUCUCCAAGGACUUAGUUUGCAAACUUUUCUGAUGAUCAGCUAUCCUCAUAGGAGCAAAUUCCUUAUAUCCAGUUAGAACUUUCAUUUCAAUCUGAUUAUCUCAUUUUGUCACUGUGCACUAUAGUAAGGGGCCUGAAUUCUCACAAAUGGAUCUUCACUUUUUGUACCAGCGUGUAGGUCUGUCUGUCGUGUCAGAAAAAAAUGCUCCAUAGCAUUUACAAUAGUGAAACAAAUCAAUUGAGUACAUUUUUCAACAAUUCUUUUUAACAUUUAAACAGAAACUGUUUACAUGGCUUAUUGAAAUAUGAUCACUGAUCACACACAGUCUUUCCAGUGUGGGACUGUAAUUUAUCAGAAAGAUAACAAUACCUUUGUGAUUAAUCCUUUAAUAUUUAUUUAUUUUUAAUUGAAUGAAGAUCAAUAAUGUUUGCAUGCUGAUCAUACUGUGUAAUAUUGGAUUAUCUAAAUCUAUGUGGCUUUUUCAUUAAAAUAAAUCUAGAGAAUGCAGAUUUACUACUUAGGAACCAUGAUCCUAUUUCUUAUAUUCAUGCUGUGAAAUUAAUUGAGAGAAAUACUGUCUAUUUCAAUAUGUCUGCUGUGGCCACUCUAACAUAUAGGGUGGGAUGGGAUAAGCUCUUUUAUCUUUUCCUUUUAUUUCAAAAAGCUAAAAGGAGAUUUCCAGUGAAAAAUCAGGCUGUGUCUAUGUAUGGGAAAGGAAACUUAUUUCAUGGCUUUUCUGUCAUGUUGUCAGACACAUGUAUAUUUUGUUGCCAAUUAUACUCAUUUUAAAUUAUUUUAAAAUGUUAAUCUUUAAGUAAUUAUUUCAAGCUUCAAAUUCCUGUUUUUAAUAAGUACUACUAUUGCUAGUAAUUCUAUUCCCCAUGAUACUAUAAAGUAUCAGAGAACAGAGAAGAAAGUUGCAUCUUCAUGUAAAUAUUUGCAGUACAUAUCUACAUUGUGUGUUCGCUUACACAGGUUAGGUAGUGUUUCUCCAAAUCUGAAGUGUGUAUAUAUGAUGUCAGAUUAUUUGAAAUGAACUGUCAAAUGCCAGUUAAUUCAGUACUUUCUGUUUUAGUGACUUUUAAAUACAAAGCAGUCUAUAGCAACAGAAUAAGGAAAACAUUUUAAAAUGUACAUAGCAAAUGGCACCCAAAGUAUAUUUUAUUCAUAUAUGCACAGAAAUACACAUGGUUACUAAUGCCAGCAUCUACUCAGCAGGUUGAAGAAAGCAAUGGAUUUAAGAGGUUUUGAAGGUAUACUUUUCAUUUGCUAAAGAUAAAAAGUAGUGCAGAUAUAAAUAAAAAGUAAGUAUUCUCAGAUUCCAACUGAAGAGAGUUUCAUUUUGUUUGUUUGUUUUUAUGUUAUACUUUUUAAUUUUGCUUACCUUACCAGUCAGGAUAAGUACAUAUCAUCCUGAUCUGACUCAUUUAUAAAUAUCUAGUAUAUACAUGUACAAAUUUAAUAUUAGAAUUAACAUGGAGAGACAGUAGGGUGGUUUGUUCAGGUUUAGAGAUUUAUGGAUAUCUGCAUGCAAAAUAGAAGAAUACUACAACUAAAAUAUGCCCUUUCUCCUGAUUCUUCUUGCUAAAGAGAUGAAGAGGAGGGGAAGGUGAGUAAAUGAAAGGAACAUAGAUGGGAAUAGCAGGAUAGAACUUUACAUCUUCCUAUAAUGUAGUGUAAUUCCACUACAUUUAUGCUAAUUGAAUUGACUACAUUGCAAGGAAGCAAAUUCCCUUCCUAAUUACCUAUGUACUUGCUUACAGCCAUGUCCUGGUUUGACCUGGGACAGAGCUGUUUUUCUUCAUGGUGUCUGAUAUAAUGCUGUGUUCUGGCUUUAGAAGAACAGCAAUAUUGAUAACACAUUGAUGUUUCAGUUGUUGCUGAGCAGUGCUGUAUAGAGCCAAGGGUGUUUCAGUUUCUCAGCUUCUCAUAUUGUCCUGCCAGUGAGGGGACUAGGGGAGGCACAAGGAGCUGGGAGGGGAAAGAAACAGUACAGCUGACCUCAACAGGAUAAAAGGAUAUUCAAUACUGUAUGACAACAUGUGAAAAAAUUAUAAAGCAGAGAGGGGUUGGCUGAAGGGACAGUCGCUUCUCAGGGAUUGGCUGGGCAUUGGUUGGCGGGUGGUGAGAAAUUGUGCAUUACUAGUUUUGUGCACGUAUAUAUAUAGAUUAUAUAUGCAUGUAUAACUAUCACUGCGGUUAUUUCUCUCUUCCUUUUCUGUCUUAGUAUAUGUAUGUCAGUGUAUCUCUUAGUAAAUAUAUCCCAAAUUAGAAGUUCUACAUUUCUUUUUUCUUCCAAUUCUCUCCCUCACCACACUGGGAGGGUUAAUUAGCUUCAAGUACCUUCACUCUAUCAUUUGAGAAAGAAGGGGCAAUAGGAAAAUUGCCCAUAUUUUCUUAGAUAUAAAGUUUCAUUAAUAUCAUCAACAUAUUAUGAUGAAAGGAUCAAUCAUUUUAUUUAUACGUAUUUACAUACAUUUCAGUUUUGCUGUGAGAUUAUUUAAAACUGUUUUAAUAAACAUACAUUGAAGCUGGAAUUAGUCACUUUCUAAAGGCAUGCAGAUGGAAUGUGAUCGGCGUGGAAUGUAAAUCUUUUUAAGGGGUUGUCAAGGCAUUAAGGGAGGGAAAAUAAGGAUGAUCAGAAUUGACGCAACCCAUGUCUCUUCCCAGAAUAUGCGUUCUAAAUCUUUAACAUAGUGAUGGAUUGCAGCUUGUACCAGUCAUUUUGGGGAUCAUUACUUCUGAUAUGGAGAUUUCCUUUGUAACUGGGCAUAAAAUAUACAUUUUUUUUUUCCUCUUUCUUUUCCAUAUUAGUUUUGAGAAAACAUGAAAUGAAAUCAGCUUAUUUUUAUUUGAGGAUUAGGUUAGUUUUAUGUCCCUGUGUGAGUACCAACAUUCCUUCAUCUAUUCAGAUGUUAUCUAUUUCAGCUGUAGAAGGCAUUCAGAACAUGCUAUAGAAUAUUGUAUGAUGAUGUUGAAUUUUUUUGCAAAAGAAUGAAAGAAGGGAAAGAGAAAAAGCUGAAAAAUAAAGACAUAUAUUUAACCUCCACACAGAGACAAAUCGGUCAGAGACCAGAAGGUAAGAAUAAAUGGUAGCUCGUGAGAGAGGAGGGAGGUCACCAGCAGAGUCACACAUGUCCAUGUUGCUCAAUGUUUUCAUUAACACUGAAAAAGAGGCUGUUUAUGAGGGACAGAAUUUACUGAUGACAGAAAGUUUUUCAAGGUAGUGAAAAACAAAGACUAAUUAUGAUGAACCCAAGGAAAAUAUUACCAUAUUAAGUAACUGCCGCAAAAUAGCAGAUAAAACGCAAUUUAGAUAAAUGUGAAUUGAUGCACAUGGAAAAUUCUAACUUUACAUACAUAAUGAUAGAUUCCUAGCUGACUAUUAUUACACAUAAGUGAGAUUUUUGAGUUAUGAUUAAUAGUUCUAUGAAAAUUUCAGUUCAUUGCUCAAUCACAAUCAGAAAUAAAAGGCAAAUCAAAUGUUAGGAAUGAUUAGGAAAUGAAUAUACAAUAAGGCAAAUAACAUUAACAUGCAUAUGUAAAAUUCUCUAAUGUAUUAUUAUUUUGAAUGCUGUCUGAAUUCUAGUACUUCUCUCUCAAAAGCAUGUAGUGAAACUGGAAGAAUUCCAGAGAAAAAUAGUAGGUAUGUUUGUAUGAAAGACUAGUCCUUCAGCCCUUAAGAUAGAUGGAUGAAGGUAGAUAGAAUGCAGAUUAUACAGCAUGAUUGUAAUGAAGAAACUGAAUUUGAAGUGAUUGCCCAAUAGUUUUUCAGGUUCAAGAACGGGAAGCAUCCAGUAAUGUUAAGAAGAAACAGGUGUGCAUUGGAAUAAAAAAAAAUAAAACAACAACAUAAAGGAGUCAUCUUGUUCUUUUUUUUAUGUAACAGAGUAAGAUAACUUUUGCUAUAAAAUGUCAUUUCAGUAACUGACUGGACAAGUUAAUGGAAGAAAAAGUGCUAUUACAUACCAAACAGUAAUUUUAAUUCUGACAGUCCAUUACUUCAUAAUUGCUGGAUAUAGGAAAAACAUAUUAUGGAAGCAGCAUUAUGUCCUUGCUCCAGUAAUGCACUUUCUGACUGGCACUGACCACUUCCUGCUGCUGGUGGCAGGAGACAGACAGACCUUGGCAGAGCCGUCAUGUGUACUUACAGUGCAGCUUUUUUUUCUUUUAACAGCUCUUCUGCUAAAUGAAAAGUUCUGGGUUUAAACUGUUAAAAAAAACAAACAAAAAAAAAAAACAACCAACAACAACAAAAACCUCAAUGUUAUGAAAUGUUUUUGUUUUCCAGAUGCUAGGAAGUAAUACAUACAAAAUUUGCCAGUUUAUGCAUUGACGGCAAAAUUUCUAAAUUACAAACUUGCUAAGUCUACCUUUGCUGAUAAUUACCUGAAUUUUUCCUUAUUUUCCUCUGUCAAAUUGAAUGCCUAGAAAAACAAAACAAUUAUUAGAAGUUAUGUCCUUAAAUGCUUUUUAAUUAAGGCACUAAAAUAAUUUUCCACAGUUUUCAGAAGCACAGCCUCCCUCAGUAGUCCAGAGUGCUCAGUCUUCCUCCCAGUAUUAUAAAACUUUAAUCCUUCCAGGGAUCACUCUAUAGAUUACUUUGAGUUCUCCCCUCAUUGUGUUCAUGUCUCAUUCCCAUACUAAUUCUCUUCUGCAUUUAUAUUAACACAUGUUCUUUGCAUUUGAUUCUAUUCAACUGAAGUCAAUAGAUACUUCACUUUUGACUUCAAUCAAAGCAGAAAUGAAUUACAGGCAAAGAACAUAGAAUCAGGGAACAUCUCAAGUUGAAAGGAACCUGUAUGGAUUGUUGAGUCCCAACCCCUGGCUCCAUAUAGCACCAAGCCAAACCCUGUGUCUGAGGGAGAGCAGUGUCCCAGUGCUUCCCGAGCUCUGGUAGCUCUGGCCCAUGCCCACCGCCCUCUGGUGAAAAACUUUUUCGUGACCCCCCACUUGACCCUCUGUUGACACAGUUCCAUGACAACACCUGAUUCCCAUAUUUAGUGUUUCUGACACCUGAAAGGUACAUAAUAAGGGCCAUUUUCACAUGGCAAAUAAUCAUUCUAGUCAUGCAGGAUGAGAGUAUUUGCAACCCAUAGACAUAUACCUUGUGUCUUUUUAAAGACAUUUUAAGAUUUGCAUGUCUUGUGUUUGCUUUCCAUCUUCUACUUCCUAUUAGGCUUUCUACUGUAGGAAAAGACUUCCAAAAUAUCUUAAUAAGUAAUUACUAGUUGCAAUGCUACCGGAUGUUAAUAUAAUCUAAUAAUUGCCUGUGUGGGGUUUGCAAUCUCAAAUCUUCUGAAGUUGCUGUAAAUUCUUGAGUGUGUAGAGCUUUUGAAAGUUGAACUUUCAACAAUGCUAAUGACUUUACUUUUAUGUGAAAGCAUAUUGUAUUUAAUCUCUUUUAUAUUAGAGUAAGAUGUUACUAAAAAUAUGUUAUUAAUGUGAUAUGUUGUGCUAGCACAUGAUAGUGCAUCUGAUAAAAUUUUUCCUAGAGGCUCUAAAGUAAGUAUUUUUUUAUUAUUAUUAUUAUUGUUUCUGAAACUUUUUGUUGAAGCAGUAUUGCUGAAGGAGGGUGGGAAAAGGAACAGAGAAUUGUUGGGGGGAUCUUCUACCUUUUGUAGCCAGAAGUGCUUUUCUGCAAAACAUGUGUGCCUGAAAGUCAGGAGAAAUAGAUUGCCUUGGAGGUGUUAAAACAAGGCUAAGGAGUCAAAUCUUUACUUCUCAGUUGACUGGAACCAGAAAACAUGGAGAAAUUGUGCCUAAACCCCUAAACUUUAAUAUCAUUAAGCCUUUUUUUUUUUUUUUUUUUUUCCUUGAGAAAGGUGAGGGACUGAAAAUGAUUAGUUUCAUACAACCACAAAAACAUUUAUUUAGAAACAAAUUUUAAAACUGUUUUAUACUAAUGAAAAGUUUCCACUGUUAUGGGCAAGUAUUACUGAAUGCUUCCUUGAUGCAUAGAUAAUAUCUCCCAGAGGAAGUAUCAGUAAAUGAUCAUGGGUAAAACAUUCAGUAAUUAGAUGAGUAUUCUUUCCUCGAUUUUCAUGCAAACUGCUUGUGCAGCUUAAUUUAGUUCAUUUAAUAUUGUUAUGCUGUUUUGAGUUAUCCUAUACAUUAUAUGGUAACACUUCCUGAAUCAUAGUAAUAUAUGAGAAUAAACAUAACUGGAAAAGUCAGAUUUUACAGUUAUUAUAUAUUUCUAUGUACCUAGAAAAGUUCUUAAUGUGACACAUUUAAAAACAAUAAUACAUUAUAUUACAUUCAGUAAAUUGCCAAGUGGAAAACUGACCUAUUUGAAUGCAGUGACCAAAUGACUAUUGAUAUUCAUCCUUACUCUUUACAGUGACAUUUAAACUUAAUUUUCUUAGGGAAAAGAAAUUUAUCUGUAAAUUAGACAAAUUCUGAUUGAUAACUUUGACAUAUAAUGCUGUACAGACAGUACGGGGAUCCAAAUUGUUAGCCAUGUACUGCAACUUCUAAGUCUACUACAGGAAUUUAUCUUUGGUCUGCAAAUAGUAUGAAGAAAUUGAUUUCAUGAUCAUCAAUUCACUGCUUAUUUUUCAGCUCAACAGAAAGCUUUUUAAUGAGUAAAAGGAAAUCAAUUGAUAAUGGUAGCCUCUCUAGUCUCUUUAGAGAUUAUCUACCCCUGGAAACUAAUCUGUGAAAAUAUAUUUGGGCUUUAAGAAUUAGUGUGACUUGACUUCAUGAAUUAGUCUAGUAUCAGAACAGACUUAAUCUGCCAUUUCAUAAUAGAUAUACGGAAUGCUUAUUCUAACUUCAUGGUUGAAGUCUGAAAAAUACACUAUUAAAGUAAACAAAUACAGCUGUAUACUUUAAAAGUAAUGAGUCUGUAAGAUUUUCAGUACUCAUCAAUAUGCAAGUAAUUUUCAUUCUUAUUACAGUGUCUACUCUAAGAACUGCUCAAAUUUCUGUCAUUACACAUAGUCUUUCUUCUAUCUGGAUAUAAAAUUAUCCUUUGUAAUACCAGCAGCUAUAUAUUUGUUCAUUUUAUGUAUGUGUUUUAUGUAUGUAUGUUGAUCACUCCAAAAGUAAUGCCUCCUAUAUUUUUCAAUGGAAAUUACAACACAUAGAGCACAAUAAUACUACUUGAUUGAAGAAAUUCUCAGCUACAAAGUGUUAUUUUUUAAUAUUAUCACCACCAUUAUUUUAUUUGUGUGGAUGAUCUGAUUAAGCUGGUCUUCAUUUUGUGGUGUGACAUGACUGUCCAGAACAUGAUUUGUUUUUCAUGUUGCUGUCACCACUGCUGAAACACACUGCCCACCACCUCACUGUGCUCACAUCCACUGAUUGGUCUCCAUAAAUGCUCAGCAGGCUUUGAAUUUCAGUGGAUGCUACUUUGUCCACAUGAAAAAAUUCAAUGUUACACCUUUGUUUCAUAUGCACUUCCAUGACAGUCACCAUUCUGUCAGGCUGUCCCUCUUCUGCUAUCUAUUGCACAGCAACAAGAUGGAAAAGAAUGUUGGUGGGAAGGUUCAGCAUCUACUGCUAUACCACCAGCAUCUGUCUCUGAAGACAUGGGCCAACAUCAUAAAAUAGGAUGCAUUACUUUCAGAGCAUCUCUCCUACAAUGCACAUAUAUGUAAAUAUAGGUAUUUAAAUGGGAUAUAUGUUUAAACUGGCAGGUAUAUUUGUUUUAAAAAGUCUUUGCUGUUUAAGUUCUUGAAGUGCAUCACUAAAUGUUGUGCUCAGAAAUAUGCUUAAGGAAAGGAAAGGAAAGGAUGCUGGUUUAGUCUGAUGAAAAGUAGUAAUAUGAAUUGAUGAAGCAACAUACAAGCAGGUUGUGUAGUAACAGUGUCAGAGUUAUUGAGCUUGAAAUCUGAUCAAAGAAAGGAAUUAUUGAAAGAAAGUGCUUUAGAAGUAGGAAUUCUUCUCUGACAAGUCAAGACAAGACUGCAAUAACCUUGACUUAGACGUGGAAUCAGAAUGAUUAGAGUCAGUGCAAAUUUCAGACCCAUUUCCUGACAACAAAUAAAUGGAGGUGUCGAGUCUCAUUUUGAUCACCUUCAAUAAUGACCUUGAAUGCAUGCAAAUGUGAAAUUUGCUCAAUGGGGACUCCGUGGCAACUCUGUGAUUCAACUGUGAAAUUAGAGAAGCUUGUAUUUAAACAGGAAUUUCACACCUGCUGAACUAGCAGUCUGUUUCUGAGUUAUGACAGGAAGGAAAGAAGCACUUCACACAGUGGGGUUUCCAUUUGUUUAUUUGAAAUAAUUUCUUAUUUCCUCUGUUACAGCUAAAUCAUCUAGAAGUAAAUCUAAACUCUUAUUAGGGGAAUCUGAGACAAAAUGACUAAGAAGUAUUUUAUUUGAAAGUUAUGGUCACUAUAUUUUUAAAAUAUAUUUUACUGUUGAAAUAAAUACUACAGUCUUUGCAGAUGCUGAGUAAGAACUUACUGAAAUGCAGUAUGUGCCCUUAUUGUUCUGGAAAAGGAAACAACUUCAGCUGAGAAGUAAAAGGCUUGUUACAAUUACUAAAUUAAAGAAUAAUAGAUAUCUACUUGAUUUUAUAGCUGAGUCCACGUACUCUUUGUAGACAGGAAAUUUUUUACAGUAGAACAAAAUAUGCAUUAACUGAGGACUAGUAUAGUGCCAGUCAUGCUGUAUCACAAGCACUUUCUGAGGUAAUCAAUUAAAUAUUGGUUCUGUAGGCAAACAGUGCAUUCACAGCAGUGAAUAUCAAAUAGAAUUGGAUACUAUGAAGCAUUUUCUGUGUAGCAGGAAUUGACAUUUUCUGAUUACAUCGAAUUGCGUCAUUUCCUAUCUUGGCUACCAAAUGCAUCCAAGUUCCACUUCCAGUUUGCUAAUCACUUAAGUGACUGAGAAAAUUAAAUCUUCAACAGCUCUCACUGAUAGUGUUACUAGGGGGAGUGAUGUAACUUAUUUCACAGACAGGCAUUCAAAAAUUUAAUCUGAAAGUGUAAUUUCUCAAAGUUCUAUGUCACCAUCAUCUCUGUCAUGGUAUCCUGCUCACUAUAGGAAGGAAGCACUCCUUCCUUGGUCUCUAUGAAGAGACAUGCUAACUCCAUGUGAGAUGAACAUCUUAAUGGAACUUCUCAUGCUGUCUCUCCUGCAGGGCAAGUACAUAUGUGUAUACAAAUAAUACACUGCUUAAUCCUACCCUACCCAGAAGUUAUUUUUAUAAGUAAAAUGAAUUAAUAUGAAUUGUGUACAGCUUUUUUUCAUGCAUAUUGUUUCUGGUAAUGUUUUAUAAAUUUUCACUGAGCACUUUUGUUUGUUCAAACAGUUUUAAUGAAAUGAAACACAUAACAGAAUAGCACAUUUUAAUAUAUUUUAAAUUAUGGCUGUGUAUAAAUUGUAUGAUGCCAUGCAGAGCAGAAGAAUCUCCAUGAUAUCCUGGGAUGUCUCCCUCUGUUCAUCAGAGUGAAAAUGUCUACACUGGAGUUCAGGUGACAAUACUUAUGCUUCAGAAGGCAUUUUUGUGUUCUAAAGGAAAGGAUGCAUUUUCCUCAGUUCUUUCUCUCUCUUGGCUCUCCUCAUAUCUCAUAAGUUUCCUCGUAUCUGAAUUGCUUAAUCAGAAACUUUGGGGGGAGAAAAAGCAAAAAAGGAAGUAUACUUUUCUGCUCUGGUAGUUAGGACAACUUUCCAGUCUUCAGACUUUGGCCUUACUGUUUUGCAUUGAGUUGGAUUGAGACCAUGUCCAGUGCAUGUCUCUUCCUGCCACAUUUGCAGGGGCUUUCCUGUCCUAGCUCUUGGACUGCUAUAAAAAGAGAAGACCUCUACAACCACAGCCUUCAUAUGCUGAGUCUAUCCACAACAGCCAAGUCACUGUGUGAUUUCAACCUUCACUUAUAUGCUUUUAUGCUUUCAUUACAAUUGUCAAAGACAAAAUUUACUUGAAGUGGAACUUCAGUGUAUCUUAUAGACUUCUACUUUCUGGGAUUUGAAAUCAGUUCUAAUUAGCUUUCUGAAUUUUUUUCCAGAUCUUACUGCAUGUAACAGUGAUAGAAAUGUAAGCUUCUGUACUUCACCGAAGUUCUUUAGUAUACACUUUGUUUUGUCUGAUGAUAUUUUGAUUAUUAGUUAAAUGUGUAAUUAUUGCAAGCUAAAUGUGUUUUACUGUAGUAGUGCAGAAUCCAUAGACUCGGUCUGAAAAAUGCCUUAGGCACAUGCUUAUCUUUGGACUGAUGAGGUCUGUUAGCUUUGAUAAAACUGAACUUCUGCUCUAAGUCAAUUGCUGGACUGGGGCCAUAGACUCUGUAAUCGAGGAAGAUUUUUAUAUUUAAUUCUUUAUCUAUUUGUUAAAGUUUUUGAUGAAUUCUGUUCUUUUACACAGAAUUAUCUUUGUUUAAUGCUACUGGAUUCCUAAUGUAAUUAUCUUCAUUGCAGGCUUCAUUAAUCACGUUUAAAGUACUUUCAGAUAUUCAUGCAUAAUUUCCGUGUAUUAAUAUUACUUGGUUAUUUAAAUUUAUUUGAUGUCCUUAAAUAUCACAAGGUACUUACCUGUAUGUGUGUCCUGAGAAUAGACUGAUCUCAUUCUCAAACUUAAGUAUACUUGUAUCUUUAUAAGGCUUAGCUGUAAUAAAGAGUCUUGACAAAGUGAAUUGUUCCACAUUGUAACUACAAUGAAUACUCUUCCUGUAUGGGAACUGCUGAAUCAUGGCCCGAACUUCUGAUUGACCACCUGAGGCAAGCGCUUAGUCAUCUGCAGGGGCACAGGUGAACACAAUUUCACCUGAGUGACCAGAAGGGGUGCAGCCAGGCUCCACCCCUCCUAGACACCAUUUAAGGGCUGACUCCCAAGGAGAAAGGAUCUAUAACUGGAGAUUCUUUCUCUUGGAGUCCUUUCUUGUGCCUAGGAUACCGGUAAGAUUUUAUUUCAUUUCUCUUUUGUAAUGCUAUAAUCUCUCUUGUUCAAUACCUGUGUAUCUGUUUGCCACAUACUUCCCUACUAAAUCAAGCCUACUGAGACCUCUACUUCUAAAAGCUUCCUGAGGAACAGUAGACAGAGAUGGCUUACUUGUUAAUAUCAGUUUGCAUGAAAAUCUAUUUCAGCAAUGGUAUUUGUGAGAAACCAGUAGGAAGUAGAUAAAAUGGUAGCUCCCAUUUGAAAAUGAAAUAUGUUUAAGGGUAAAAAAUGUAUGAUUUCCCUUUUGUAAGCACAAAGUUUAGCACCAGCUAGAAUGUCAAAGCUUUCAGGCGUGAAGCAUGUGUGAUUUAUGUAUACUUGUGGAGUAUCUAUUAUAAUGAUUCUAAUUAAUGCCUAUGACUCCUGCUUUAAACAAAUAAUUAUAUCUGUAUCAGGAAAUGUGUACAUUUUUCUAGUCUUAAGAGAUAAGUACAUCCUGAGUACUUCUUCUACUUCUAAUACAUUAUAGUAAGUCUUGAUCAUUCUCCAUUAAACUAAUUAAUUACUACAUAUAUUAAUAAUUAAUUAUUAAAGAGGAUGAGGGUGAAUGGCUUUAAACUAGAAGAGCAUAGAUUUAAAUUAGAUAUCAGGAAGAAAUUCUUUAUUGUGAGGGUGCUGAGACACUGGAACAGGUUGCCCAGUGAGGUUGUGGAUGCCCUCUCCCUGGAAGGAUUCAAGGCCAGGCUGGAUGGGGCUUUGAGCAACCUGGUCUAGAAGGAGGUGUCCCUGCCUAUAGCAGGAGGGUUGGGACUAGAUGAUCUUAAAGGUCCCUUCCAACCCAAACCAUUUCUUUUAUUCUAUGAUUAAUAAUUUCAUAAUUAUAGUUCCCAUAGAACUGGUAAUAACUUAGAAAAUUUUUAAGAAGUUAUGAGAUAAUAUGCCUUGAAAGGCUUUUUCAUAAACUCAUAGCAUGUGUUGAGAAACUUCAAAAUUUACUCUGAGAAUAUUGAAGAAUAUAAUUGUUAGGUUGUACUUCUGUUCAUUUUUAUAAUAUGAAAACAUAAAACUAGCAUAUGGUUUUAUUGCUUAGUAUCUAAUAUGUUCCUUCUUAAAUUCAAUUGUACUUUUUUCUCUACCAGUAUACUUUGCCACACUCUAUAUCCCCUGUUAGUUCACAGCUAGAGAUUAAUGCAGUUACUGUAGUUAAUGAUGAGUGAUUUAGAAAUCUUCCUAGAAACUGAAAAUAUUCUUCUAAAUUAUCAUUUAAAUGCUCUUUAAACAUUCAUUCAUUAGCUCCUGCUUAUUUCACAUCUUUCUGCUAGAGACAGGGAAAGAGGUGGGUGCAUUUUCUCCUUAAGGUUUCAUUCCUUCAUUCCCAAAAAUAUGCCAGGAGGGAAACAGCACAUCUGUAAAACAAACAAACAAAAAAAAACAACAAAGGCACUGUGAAAUGAAACAAGAAGUUCUGUGGUAGUGCUGUUUCAGUAGUAAUCUUCACAAAGACUCCUCAUUUCAAUUGUUUGUUUUCCUAAAAUGAGUUAAUGGGGAAACUCUGUGGGAUUAUGAAAGAAGGCUGCUUCUAAUCUAAUGAGAUUAUAUAUAUUCGUUUGAUAAUUUUGUUGGUAUUCAAUUUUAAAGUGCUUUAAUUCUAAAUACAAAGAGUAGGGUCUGACCUGUAUUUUUUGUAACUUGUACAUAAAAUACCAAAGUAGGAGAGGCAAUUUUUGUUGCUUAUAGUUCUUUUGAGUUAUGACUAUGUCUGGGUGAAUGGUUCAUCCCAUCAAAUCCAAACCAGGCUAAUAAAAGCAAGAUUUUCUUUUGUUCAGCUAAUGUCUUGGUAUGUAUUAGCCUUACUCUUUUGAACUAUUGACCUCUUUUUAAUCAUUAAUAAAUUUAGUGGCAGCUUAAACAUAGGAGUAACUUUUUUUAUGGCAUUCUUAUCAUGCCUUUAAUAGCAGAGAUCAAAUGUUUUAGAGUGAUGCUUUCUGGAAGAGAUGCAGUUCUGCAGCUUCUGUCCUCCUUUCAUUUUAUGCAUUUCAGGGUAUAUGGUCCACACUGGGCAGUAGGAUGUUUAACUGUCAGUCUUUAAGUCAAUGCUGCAGACACUAUAUGUCCAGUUUACUGCCAUAUAAUUUGCUGAUGGAAGAAAGCUGCUACUGUUUGCUACACUGCCCAAUAAAAUGUGAAAACAGUUUUAUGUCAGUUUCUACUUCCUUAUUGCAAUCAUAUAAUUCAGUUGAAGAUCAUCACUGCUGUAUUAAUUUGUAGGAGACAAUAUUAACUAUAUGAAUUUGUAUAUGAAUUUAGGCUUGGGUGCACUUCUUUGAAGAGAUGCAACUCUGCAGAGUUGAACUAUUUUUUUUCUUUCCAAAUAGGCCUUCUGUUUGCAACUAGGAGCUGUCCUAAGUGUUUAAACAAAAGAAACAGUAAUAGGGAAAUGUUUUACUGUAUGGAAAGGAUUUAGUAUUCUGAUUCUAAUUUCUAAUAAGUAUGUGAAUUGGUUGUUGUUUUAAAAGUUAAAGAGGUAGAUCUUGAUUUCCAGCUGCAUUCAUUGUAGCUUCCAUUUGAGAAAUGGUGAGGCCUGCAAGGGCUGCAUGCAAAACACAAUUUUAUUUUAGAAUGAGAUCGUAGCAUUCUCUUUUAUAUUUUAAAUAAGAAAAUGCACAACAUUAUUUAAAUAUUUUUGUUCCACCUAGGCUUAGUCAAUUAGACUCAAGUAAAUAUUGUCUGUAUAUUGCAGAACUAAAUUAUAUUGCAUAUCAGAAGAUGAGUUUAAUAAUUAGAAUUAAAGAUGAAGAAAAACACUUCGGGUACUUCUCAAAUAGAUGUAUUAGUCUGUGCUCUUCAUAUAUAAAACACAUAACACUGUAGCAGAAACACUUUCAUACAAUUCCUUCAGACUCAUUUGUGUAAUUCAUUUUUGACUUAGUUACCAGUGAGUGAGAGAAUCCCAAAUGUACACUCAUAAAAUCUGUGUGCCAAACCAUGCCAUCAGUACUCUUUCUGAAAUAUACAGUUGAAACCUGUAUCUAUUAUAGUGGAUAAGAACACGAAAAAUUGAAGCUUGCUUAAAACAGUCAGUAUAGCUUCUUGAAUAUUCUUGAUUAUAUGGAUGUAGGCCAAAUUUACUGCUUAUCUUUGAAAGCAGCUAUUAAUUUUCUAAUUGUCUUUUCCUGUUUGCUCAUUUGAAAAGUACAUGAGCGAUUUAGAAAUAUUAUUGAGCUUACAUUCACACAAUUGCAGCAAGAUAAGAGGAUGCUACUUUCCUAAUUUAUAAAUGAGGAUCUGAAAUGCAGAGAAGCAGCUGCUUUGUGUGUUCCACAGGAGCUACCUUGAGUGUGGUUUUAAUAGGUUUUGAAGCUCUUAGAGCACAGGUCUCAAUGUCUCACUUUGCAGAUGUGAGCACUUGGCAAUUUUGAAAAUCAUGUGUUUUGUAUCAGAGUGUACAGCUAAGUCUGUCUGAUGGACAGAGGUCGCCAGUGAGAUCAUUGCUUCAAAUAUCUCAGCUGUCAGCACACAAGAAAGGGCUCUAGGCCAAUUCUUUUCAAAGACUUAACCAUAGAACUGCUUUUCCUCCUCUAACCUCAGUACCUUAUUCAUGCUUUCCAAUUCUAUAACAAGGGAAACAUAGCUGGCAGAAAACUGCUUUUAAUUCAUAAUGGUUCACAUUUACCUGCAAAGUGAACUCUCUUUUUGCAGAAACUGAUUUGAGUUUCUGUGAAUAGUUUUUUGCCUUGAAACUAGUGCCUGUUGUAGGAAAGCUGCAGACAGUGAAUGUGUUUAAAUACAAGUAGAAACAAACUAUAAAUUCCAGUAUUUUCCCUAGUUAUGAAGCUUAGCUGUGCAAUGUGAGGUAUUUCUUUGUAUUUUCUAGACUUACAUAAAUUUCUAGCAGUCUUUUAAAAAAUGAGGAAUUCUUGAAUUUUAAUCUGAAUCCUUGAUUAUGUAGAGAUUAAUGAAGUAAUAAGCUACUGGGAAAGUAGAAAAUGAUAACUUUAUAUGCUUCAUCAUUGUGCAAGAUUUUAGUGUAACACAACUCCAUUUUCACUUACAAAAAAGCUGAAUGAGAGUACCCACAUAGCUUAAUAUGUUUUCAUUUUACACCUCAUAAUAACCUCAGCCAGCACGAAAAUAGACCUCACUUUUUGAGUUGAACAUUUAAACUACUAGUUUUUCUUUAAUUUCUUCAUGAAUGUUUAGAAUAUACCAUUGUCUUCUGUGAUAGAGGCCCAUUCUUCUCAAUGUGUUCUUUAGGGUUAUCUAUUCCAAUGUAAAAGGAGCUGUAAGUGUUACAUUUUUAUACUCUUUUCAUCAAAAUGGAAACAAAAGUUCCCUUCAUAAUCCUCACUUCUUUAAGAUGUGCUCAUCACAAGUCCAUAACCUUGGCCUGAUGCUUAUCAUGUGGUUGCUUUAAAAAAAAAUGCAACAUAGUCCUUCAGGAAAUUAGAUGGGCUGUGCUCUCUUGGUACCUUUGGUGGGUGGGAGCAUUCUGCAUAUGCUCAUAAGCCAUUGUCAUCCACGUGCAUGGUCUCAAAAUAUCUAUGCAAAGGUUUCUGCUCUAAGUUGACAGAUGCACUUGACUUGCAAGUAACACAUAAAAUAACAAUAGAAGAAGCAAGAUCAGAUGCCAGUUAGCAUCUGAUUACAGGUCAACCUUAGCCAAUACUUGGCUGUACUUACUAAUGAUUGCAUUUGGUAACCAGUUUUGGGAUGUCUUUUAUAUACAUCUGAAUAUAUAUAUAUUCAUGUGUGCACAUAUGAGUAAAUAAGUGGAUUUACAUCUACCAGUGCAGAUGGAUUGUGUCACUGGCCAUAUCAUUUACUAAAUGGCGUGUCAUAGCAACAAAGACACUUUAUUCUGUAUUCUAACACUGUAUUCUGAAGGAUGGGAAUUAUUUCAUUGAUGAUACUGACAGCUCUAUAAAAUAUGAAAGUACUAAUGUGAAGAAAUAACGUUAACUUUUCUUAAAAUAAGAUGUACAGGAUAAGUCAUGUUAUUGAUUUUACAGCAUUUACAUUUCUUUUUUUUAAUAAUGUGUGAGAAGAUAUUUACUAAAGGAAACUAUCUGGUGCUGUCACUAAACUAAAAUCACAGAACAUCUGGUUUCAAUACAGAGAACAAGUAGUCUUCUUUCUAUAGUGUAUAUUGUUUUUACUCUGUCUAGAGAAUGGUCUCUCCUAUGGAUGGUAUUAUUAGAAGUAUUUAAUUCAAAAUGAUAUUUUGGCUAGAAAAAGGUGUAAUGUUAAUGGUGUAAGGUUAAUGUUAGAUGUAAGUUCAUUUGUUUUGGGUUCAGAAAACUAUUUUGGGUCGAACAGUGGCAUAUCUAAGUUCUCUGUAUACAGCCAGAUAUUUUGCCUCAGGUUUAUUGUCAUAGUAAAUGUUGUUUGCUGUAAGUGCUCUAUUGUGGAAUACUCAAUGAUGUUGGAGUGGACUAAAUGUUCUUUGUCAGUGCUUAUACAGAUUUUUCUUUAAAAUGCCUUGGUCAGAAAACAGGGUAGUAUACCCAAAUUGCAUGUGUAUUUGCACUGUGAUUCUUCUUUCCUCUGGAUUAGCAGGACUUGUUUUGUGUUGCAUAGUAACUCUUAGGUAAUAUAUUCCUUCUACUUAGCAUGCAAAAGGAAAUAGAAACUGGAAAAUUUGGUGUGUGCACUGUACUUAUGUCCAGCAAGGAUGCAGCUCCAUGUCCAGUUAGAAUCUUUUGGGGUCAUAUGCUGUUUGUAUGUCAAGGAUUUGUACAAAACCAGAUUAAUUUGUUAGAUCCAUGAGCCUCAUCUCCAUGUGGGGCUUGAAUAAGGAUGAACAAGGCCAAACAAUAACAAUGGGUACAUUACCUUGGUGUCUUAAGAGUGGUGGUGUCCUGUGCAUGUCAGCUCUGCAGGUUGAUGCUGUAAACUGGUUUAACUGUCAACUUUUCUGUCAACUGUUUUCAUGGUCUCUUGAGAGUCAAAUAAAAGCCCUUGGGAGAGGGGACUGCAGUGGAGCUACAAGUGUAUUCUAGUAUUGCUAGAAGAGUUAGCAUCACUCUUGGCUUAUUCCUUGAGAAAUGAAGCAGUACAGAAAUGCUGUGGAGAAAAGGAUAAUUCUGGGAUUAAUCCCUAUUUCCUCUCCCUGCCCCUGGGAAUCUGAGGAGACAAAAGGAGUAACUAUCCUACUUUAAUUAGGCUCCUUGUUUGCCUCAUUGUUUCUAGGUAGCAGAGAGGGAAUAUAGAUGUUUUCACCUAAAUCAGAGCUGAUUGCAGUAGUCUAGGUUUGCUCUCCUCUUGAGCUGAAAUGAUUUAAAUAAGUGGUUUUCUCUAACAAUUUAUUCAUCCUACAACUUAGAACUCACAACUGCACUCGUAGUAUUAAAAAGCAGAACACAUUUUCAACAUCCUAAAUAUCUCUAAUUGAAAUCAAAUGGAAAAAGAGAAAAUCUGUCUUUUGCUUGACUAGACAAUAAUAUUCCUGACUGUAAAUGUAUAUUUACACAUAAACCUUGGAAGCAAUGCCUUGUAAUGUCUUUCACUAGGAAUUAAAAAAAAAAAAACAAACCAAAACAGAAACAUUCCUUCACAAACAGAUAAAUAAAGUAAAACAAGCACAGGUGGCAGAAAAGCUUAUUUUCACAGUGGAGUAAUUGAUAAUUUGUGGACUUUUUUUUUCCUCUGAAGCCUUCAAGACAAGCAACUCCUUAGCGUAUUGCAGUAGCAUGCAGUACAGAUGUAAGGGAAAGCUAGGUGUCAUUCAUUAAGGAAUCCUGUUGGUAUGACUGACACAUAAAGCGCAAUUUUUUGCCAUUCUGAUGUGUGCUUCCUUAUGGAGGUAUCUCAGAGACAAACCAUUGGAGUAAACCCAUUCUAUUGUCAUUUGGUGAGGAGAUAUUUUAAUGAAAGCGAUCCGUCUUGUGUGCAAACACUAACCUUUGCUAUUUGAUAUGCACAGAAAUUCAAUCAGAUGCUUAAUUACAUCUUAACAUGAGUUCCAAACAGCUGGCUAAUUCCCUUGUUUCUGAUUAAAGAGAUUACAAAAAUAAAAUUUAACAUUGCAUUUACAUACAGCUCUAAAAGGGAACACUUGCCCAUAAGUUUUAGUCAUUUAAGAAAUUCAUGUCUGUUCAAUGCUAGGGAUCAAAGCUUUUAUCAUGAUAAAUUACAGAGUGACAACAGAAUAAAAAAAAAAUAGCAAAUAGAAUUUGUCAAAUGUUCUGCUUGUUGAUUAUGGCAGGCUUUAGCUUGAAGAUGUGAGUCUAUAGAAAUAUGCACAAAGUAUUUUGUUUCAUAUUCUUUUUUUCUUUUUUGUUUUGGGUGGAAGUAUAGAAGUUAAAUUGUUCACUAAACUUUCCAAUCCCAUGAGUUCAAAAUGCUGUUUUUCAAAUAGAAUUGUUCUGAGUAUAUACAAUUGUUAUAGUUGAUUUAUUAACUGUCAUAUACUAGGGUAAAAUUUCAGAUGUUUUCUGCCUAGCUUAGUGUUCAAGUGUCUUAUUUUUAUUCAUUUUAAUUUCAUUUUUUAAUUGAAUGUAUAGUUAUGCUAAUGUCAGAUGUAAACAUGUAUCUUCAGCAGUGAUAGUAUAAAAAUUCUGACACAAAAGCUGCAAUUUUUGUAUCAAUGCGUGCACCAGAGGUGAAACGAGUCUGAAUAAUUGCAAAAAAGAGUAGGGUAUGGAUUCCUAAUGUCAUAUUGGCUCAAUGUAGACUCAUUAGAAUGCAUUAAAAAACCAUUGUUAUAUGUAGAGAAUUCAUAUGAAAACUUUCCUUAAAGUAAGAAGUGUCAAUUUUAUAAAAAAUAGGAAAUAUAAGGAGCUUCAGAUGCUGAAAAGCAGUGAAGUGAACUGUAUGCGUGACUUGCUGAUCCUGAAGGUUAGGCAGAAAUAUACCUCCUCCUUUUGACAGUAAAGACUGUGUUUGGAGCAAUGCUGACACUACUCACACUUCUAAAAAAUCAAAUGGGACAUAUUCAAGUCUGUUGAGAGAAAUGGAAUAUAAAACAAAUGAGAGGCUGUAAAGAAUGUGCAGGUUUCUCUUAUACUGGGAACUGGAGAGUGACAGAUAUCACAUCCAUAUUUUACAGACCCCUGUGAGUGUGGGGAACUACUGACCUCCAUAUCAUAUAUUUCAACCUAAUAUAACAGUGAAAGGGAAGACGUGGGAGAUCAUGACCAGAUCAAUCUAAGCAGAAAAAUCUGUUUGAAAAAGUAAAACUCUUCCUUCUUGGUCUUUUCACAUGUUACAAACAUGUAAAUAAAUGAGCAUAUUUACAAGAUUGUAUCUGACAUUUCAUUUAGACUCUGAGAUUUUUAAGAGAUCUCCUACAGCACUUAGCAAAUAAACUGAAUAGUUAUAGGCAGCAAGCUGUAAGAUUGUAAGAUUUGUGUUCUAUCAAAAAUGGAAUUAGAUAUAGGUUAUAAGAACUGAGAACAAGUGACCAGAUUUCAGUGUCAACACCACCUCUUGCCCUCAAAGAUUAAAAAAAAAAAAACAAAACAACCAGAGUGUGAUGCCUACCUGAGAGCUUCUGAAUUAUCCCUUCUAAAUCAUCCAAUGCAAGAAAAAUGUGAUUGUGCUCAGCUAGUCUUUUACUGGCUGAUUGCUUGAAAAAGAAUGGCAAUAAAAUGGCAUUUCCCCUCACUUGCAGGUUAGGCAAUUUCAGAUGAAAGAUGGUACUGAAUAAUGGUGUUUAAUAGUCCUUAAAGGAUUUUUUUCUUCCUUUAAUUGAUAUAACCUCUUUGGACUGCAUUAGAGUCAAGAGUCCAAUUCUCCCUGAGCAGGUUCUUUAUGAUAUUCUGCAUGUGAAAGAUUUGAUGCCUAAUACCCGAUUUUCUUAUUUGAUGUUAUCUGACCUUACGUGGGAUUUUGAUUUAACCGUUUUGCAGUGUUGCAUGUAAAUCAAAAUACAAGUACACUUAACAGAGUAUAACAGCGGAAGGAUAGCUGAGUUGCAGUACAAUCCCUGGCUGCUGGGAGGGAGUACAUGGGUUCAGGCCAGCUCCAGACCUCUGCUCUCUUCAAAGUACUUCUUGUAAUUUGUUCAUUUUUCUCUGGUCUGUGUUGGACUGAACCACAUGUUAACCUGUAUCUCACCAGUCUGACUAGCUCAGGAGGAUAUUUGCACUCCUUUGAUUAAGCCUGGGAUGAACAGGUACAGAGCUGAUUGAUACACUCAGCUGAUGUAGGUGGGUGUUUGUCUAGCCUAAAGGCCACCCUCUGACCCCUCUGUGUUGCAGCUUUCUUUGCAUCAGCAGCAGUCCCUUCAUGAGUAUGAGCCAUGCCUCCUCCAGAGCCUCUUUUGUUAUUGUAGAUAUUCAGUGACAAGUCACAGUACUAGCUUUUGAUGCUCACAGAAUAUGGCAGCAAUGAGGGCAUAAUUUAACCAUAUGGUAUAUGAAAAAUUCUGUUGAUCAUUAGGAAAUAAAUGCAAUUUUUAUACAAAAUCAAGAAAGUCAUGGGGAAGGUUAUUUAAAAAGUUUUAGGCAGUAUCAAAUAAAAUUAUGAACUCCCAGAUUCAAAACCACCUGAAGGGUCCUAGGCUACCUUAUUUUUCCUCAUGUAAACUUUACUACCUGUCUCUCAUUAACUUUACUUCUUUUUCCUGUAUAACUUUUAUUUCUGCUGUGUACUGUUUUUGAUUAGGUAUGGUAUCCAAGACAUGGUAUCUUAUUCUGCAUUCCAGUGCUUAUGUACAUUCUCUCUUAGCAUAGCCAAGACUAUUGGUUGCUAUUUCCCUAUCACUGUACCAUCGCUUUUUCCCUUGUCUCUCCGACCACUCAAUAUCCUAUCACAGAAUCACAGAAUGCCUUAGGUUGGAGGGGAUCUUAAAGAACAUCUAUAAAUUCAUUCAGUAGAAAUAGUGGAGAUAAAGGGAAAGUAGUAAGCUUUAUUGAUACCAGUGAACAAAAUUAGUACAAAAGCUAGCAUAAAAAUACUGUGUGCCUAGUAAUGAGGAAAAACCUGCUCCAGGUAAUGAAGAGAUUAUAUGUUUAUUGUAUCAUCAGUUACUUGCCUCUUUUGUAAGCUAAACAGAUCAAAGCUAGUUAAUCUUUUUCUGGUUAAAACCGGUUAAUAUAUUUUCAGUGGUGAGGAGAAUUACCCUCUUAAGUAUUUAAAUAUUUCUGUAUCAGAUCAUAGGCUUAAAAUUUCUGCUAAGUAACAAGGGUGACUGUGAGCUCUUAGUACAGAGUUCAUAUACUGAGCCAUGAAGAUCUUCAUGUAUUCUUCUGAGGACCAAGAUAUCCUCUUGCAGGAAUACAGUAUUGUGAACUCUCAAAGUGACAGUGAGAAUGAGAUAGAAGAUGAGCUCUAGAGAGUGAUGUGGAAUGUGCAGGCCAUGUGGUGUCUGAAAAGACUGAGAAGGCUAACAGAUUUGUUGGACUGUGUUAAUCACUUCCAUUCACUUCUUUAUGGAUUUCAUUAGGGCUUAUAUCUCUUCCUGUCAUAUCACAUACUCACCUGCAUGCAUGUUACAGGCACCCAGCGAUGCUUGACUGAGCUCCAGAUUUGCACUGUCUCAUUCCACAUCCUCCCCUCUUGACGCUUUCCUGGAUCUUUUAUCAUUUUAACCAGAUUUACCCUCCCCCUUUUCUGUCCAUACACCUGCUGUCUUAACUACUUGUUUGAAGCAGCAUUUAGUACAAGAUCAGAAAAAAAUGCCUUCUCUACAAUAUAGUUGGGAGGUUUGAUACCACUCUUAAGCUUUGGUUCUCUUUGGAAUUUUUGCUGCAAUAGAGGAGGAAACAUCUUUAUAAAAUAUGUGCAACAUUUUUAGGUUAACUGAUAAGUCAGCAAAGCACAUUAACUUAAUGAAAGUGUAGUGUUUCAAUAAGGUCUAAGUGCUUUAAUCUUGAAUUGUUUUAUUGCAUCAUAAAAUGUUCAUAAUUAGACUGUUAAAGUUGAUAUCAGAGUAGAAGUCAAUAUUUAGUGGGAGUCAAGAAGUAGUAGGACACCUCAGUAGACCUGGGAAUAUUAGUUGUUCAGAUUUUGGAAAGAAAGGUUUUAUUCUGUCUUUAUGUGACUGGUACAAUGAAUGCUAGGAUGGAAGGUAGUUUUGAUUAUAUAUUUCUGGUACAUUUCAUUGCAGUCUUCGUUAAAUAUAUCUAUGUAUAUACUCAGCUGAUACUGAUCUGUAGUAACUUUUAUUAACUAUGAUAGGAUUCCAAGGUCGUCAUAGAGAAUAUCUUCCCUGAUUAGUUGGUUUGUUUUUUGCCUGGAAUAUUUUUUUCUAGAGUGAAAGUUUAUUAAUUAAAGACGCAAUUUGCCAUUAAUUACAUCCAGUAUAGAAGAAGGAUUUCCAAAGGCUUUAAAUGCUGCAUUUCUUAUUUCUGUAGAUAGUAUGUAAAAUUGUCUCUUUCGCUGAUGCUUUAGAAAGUAGGGCGUUCUUGAUUUGUUAUACGGUUAUAUUUUAAUACUAAGAAUAUCAUUACUAUAAGUGUUACUUGUAGUAACAGUGAUCAGUAAAUAUGUAGUUGUCAUUUCUGUUGAAAACUAUUUGGGGCAAAAUAAAGCCACUAGUCAUAGAGCAUCCUCAAGUCUUUAACUACAUUUGUUAUGAUGCAGUAUUUCCAUGCAUAUUGCUUGUUUUAAAACUGGACCUUAAUAUGCUAUCCAAAGUACCAGGUAAAAAUCACUAGAGCUGUUUCUGUGAGGAAAAACAUGAGAUCAAUUUAAGGCAUAACCAAUUCUGUAAUGCAGUUAUUGGUACUUGAAAAAAUAACUGGAAAAAAAAAAACUGUGUCUAUCCAUAUUGCUGUUCUAAUUCCCAUAGAACAAGUAAGAGAAGAUUGGCUGUAAUUAUUUAAAAAAAAAUUGCAAAAACAGGAAAGGAUUCAAAGAUAUCAUUUAGUUUUUUUAAGUUCCAGCAAAAUAUAUCUAUGUGUACAUUUUUAAUGUAAAGUGUGUAAAUGUAGUAUGUGAAGAACUAAUGCCAUUGUAGCCAGUUCUGGAGCUCCUGAAUUUAAAGGAGAAACAAUGUUACCUGAAGUUCAACUAAAACUUGUGCUGGGUGUGAACCUUCCCCAGGGAAAAGUGAAGACAAGACUGAAAUUGGGGUACACCUUGUGUUCACAAUAAUGUGACUGUUAAAGCUGUGAUCCUGAAUUUGGAAAUGCAAAUGUGGAAUCUUUCUAAAUCUAAGUAGAAAUGUUUGUGUGCUUACAGAAUGUUAAGAUUACUAGUAAUGGUGUUGCAGUUACUAUGGCCUGUGGUGGAAAGGGGUGUUUUGCUGUACUCAUAGUCUUCACUUAAACAAUUCAACAACAUUUGUUUAAAAUUUUACUUUUUAAAAUGAAAUUCAUUCAGAAACAAACUUGCAUAGACAUGCAGUCAUAGAUUUAGGGGGAAAAAGAAUGGAAAGUGAUAUCUUUAAAAUACACAUUGUAAGCAUAUAGGAAGUAGAUUUUUCUUCUUCCACUGUGGGAAAGAAGCAUGCUAUUUUAGAGAUCACUGUUAGUUCCUUUGUGAUCUUUAAUUUUUAUGAGAUUUGAAGUAGGAUCUGAAUGUAUUAAAAAAAUACAAGUAGAUGAACAUUCUGAACUCUUCCACAUAUACAUGGUAAAUAUCUUGGAAUUCAUAUAAAUUUAGAAUAAUCACACUGUUGAUAUUUUCACUUUAGAAUUCAAGAAGUAUAGUACAGAUGCUGCAAGGCAGUGACACAUUCCAUUAUUUUAGAAGCCUACAUUUCUACUUAGUUUUCAAGACUACAUAAAAUUGAGAGGAUGAAAACAUAUGGCAGAUAACUAAAUUGUGGAAUUUAGCUUGAAAUUCAAACUUCUUCAUUCAUCAUCUGUCUCAUUCAAUAGGUAUUGUUUAGGCCCCACUUAAAUAAGAAUUAUGUGUAGAAGAUACUGAGACAAGUUUAAUACAUCAUAUCAUUGUAUGUGAGAGUUGUGAAGUGGCCAAGAAGACUGGAAUAAUGCCAGCCACACUACAUUCUAUUUCUGUAUCAUUUAAACUGCUUGUCAUGAUGCAUGGUGCUGUCUUCUACAUUCAUUUCCUGUAUAAAGACUGCUUCUUGGAGGGAGGGAGGGGAAUGUGAGAAUCGCAGUAUUGCUGCUUCAAGACAAUGUAUUUUAUUAUUACUGUAGAAAAUAAAUUUUGAAAUACAUUAAUUUGCAAAGGAUACGUGUCCUCUGCCGCCUCAAAACACAGCAAGCUUACCAAAAGAUUUGGUGGGAGCUGUAAAGCCUGGGAUGAACUCCCAGAUAACAGGGAAGAAGUAAAACAAAGGUUAGGUGUAUUGCCUUGUUUCUAGCUUUAUCCUCAGGUAAUAAUUUGACAUAGAGAACCUUAGGUAUUGACCUUGCCAGCGUUUGUUCUUACACUUGAAUAGGAAUGUGUAUUUUCCUGCAAAAAUUUCCAUAUUUAAAAAGUGUAUAUAUAUAUAUACGUGCUACUGAUUUGGCAAUAUAUGCCUCAUGAUAGUAGAGACAGACAUGAAAUGACUGUGUGUGGGUAUGUUUACCCAGCCUAAUCUAAACUAUUUCUAGUGAUGACCCCUCUGUCCAGGAGGUCCUGUAAACUCUCUUAGGCAACAUGUAUACCAAUCCUUUAUGAAUAUGUGAAUUUCAGUGACAUCUUGCCAAAGUCUUUUGCCAAAGGUUUAGUCAGCAGUCUUCACAACUACUGAGAGUUAAAUUAAGAAAAGCAAGUAUAAAUGUUGUCUUGUGGAAGAAAGAAAAAAAAAAAAAAAGAAAUAUUCAGAGGAGCUCAGAAGUAUUCAUAGUAACAAUGGGACUUCAGAUCUACCACAAGUAUAAAUCAGGACUGAGAAGAAGGACAAUAUUCUACAAAACAUCAAUUUUUGAAAUGUGCUCCCAUGAACAGAUGUAAGGAAAACAAGCAUAUGUAUUUAUGUAAGAGAAGUACAUUGUAUGUAUGAGCAUGAUGCAAAUGGUACAAAUUAUUAAAUAUAUAUAGAAGAAAUAAUUUCAUUUAGAAAUACCUCAAUAUUCAAAACUUUUAAGCUGUUUUUAUGGGGAUUAGAAUACAAAGUAAUUAUUUGUUACUUUUCAAAGUAGUAAAUAUAUUCUAAAAACUAAAUCACUGUAUUCACUAUCACUGUCUCCUGAGACAAUUCAUGUGUGGUGUGAUUGUUUCAGGUGGAAGGAAAAAACUAGGGAAGUAGCAUUUCCAAAUUUGACAUGGAUUGUGUUUGUCACUUCCCUGGAUUGAGUUUCUAGUCUGGAAGGGAGGCAAAUAGAAAGAAUCACAUAUCAAUCUGUCUUCUUGGUUAAUGUUUGAAAAGUAAUUGAUGAAUGUGGGGUGUAAAUGUUAAGUGUUAAUACCACAAAUCUUGUUGUGAUAUUUCAAUUAUGAGAGAAUCUAAGCCUUCUGACUUACCUUCUUAAUGAAAACUCAGUGAAGAACAUUACCCUUUUAUGACUGAAAUAAUUAGGACAAGUUUAGUGCUUAAGGGUCAGGAAGAGUAUGGAUUCAUUGACUCUACAGAUGAAGAUGAGAUUUGCCACCUCUUCUUCUUGUUCAAGACAUAUUCAUGAAAUUCACUGUCACAAUAUAUAUGUUGCACGACUUGCCAUCAUUUUUUGUCUUAACCACUAAUCUAGCCCAAAAUCCAAUCUGGAAAAUGUUUUUUCCAUUGUAAUUUAGGGUUGUAUUAUUACCUUUUUUAUUAUGAGUGUAUGCACACAGCUCAUACAUUUGUAAAAAAAACUUACAAAGACUGUAGAAGACUUCAAAAACUGUAGUUAAACACUUUGUGUGCGCAAAACAGAAUAGCGGCAAGUUUCCUGUGCUUGUUGUCUCAUAUUUUGCUUGGUAAUUGUGAACAAGGAGACAUACCAGUUAUCUGCUUUAAUCAUGAGUAAAGCAUCUUACGUAAUGCCUUUUCUUCAAGUUCAAAUUUCUCUUUAAUUUUACUUUCCUGCAGGGGCAUUCAGUGUCACAAGUACUUUAUAUAGUAAUCAGACAAAUGUCCUCUUUUUUCCCUCCCUUGGAGUCCACUCUAAAUAGUCCAGAAUUCUGUCUUGAAUAGUUAUUUCUAAAUUAUUAAAAUAUGGUUAUACUGCAUUCUAGUGGUGGAUGAAAGAGUAUCUAGUUGUUUGAUCUUCUUUUCAAACUCUGUGGUCCUGCAUGUACAGAUUCUUAUUCUGCAUAUUUGAUGCAAUAAGAGUAUUUAGUCUGUUGCAAGUUUUAUAUCAGUUUAGAUUUAUUUUAAUGAUUUUUGUUAAUUAAUGCUAUAAUGUGUAAGCGAAUGUGAACAAAACAUCAGAAUACCUUACUGUUUUACUAGGAGUCUUAACUCUCAAGGUUACAGCAUGCUGUUAAUGAUUCAAUAAAAUGAUUAGGCUAGACUAGCAGCUGUAAUUUUUCCUGGAGAUAUGCAAGAAAAAAAUAUUACUUUUCUUUACAUCAGUUCGAACUUAAAUAUGUUGGAUGGCAGCAUGCACUUGUGAAAAGAAGAUAUUUUCUAGGGAGAGAGAGGAAAAUAUAGGUAGCCCGGACUAUGUGGAGGUCCUUUACCAUCAGCCCAGUAGAGAGAAAUCUCUGUAAAUGAGAGAGACGAUUGCUUUUUGAAGCAUUCAUUGGGAAAGAAGUGACACUGCACACUGACCUCUCUAGGAGAACAAAGGCAUGAGUACCUUCACUGUGGUAGUGAUACCACUAGUUAGAAUUUUAGACUGAAACUCAAUCAAUCUGCCCACAGCAUUUUGUUCUUUCCUCAAUUUCUGGCAAAAAAACUGGAGGAUGUACUACUCAUUCUAAGUGUUUCGUGCUUGCAAAAUGGCAGUGUUAGCUUUCUGUCCCCUUGUUUUUUCUGUUUAGGGACAGUGUUAGUACAACUAUUAAAGUUCAAUUAGUAUUUGAAUAUUCACAGCAAUUGUACUGGGAUGACUGACGUGAUAUGAUGCUACUGAAUGAUGUAUUGGUGGGUAAAUGCUGCAGAGCAGAAUGUCUGGAGAUGGGGGUCCCAGUGCCUUCUGGACGAUAUGUCCAGCCCUGGGAUCCCAGCUCUGACUUCAGCAGAAGUGAUUCUUCCUUAUCUCAUGAUAUGCGUAUUGUCUUUCUCCCUUCAAACAGUUCCAUUCUCUUAAACUCCCAGAAUCACUCAGAAUCACAGGAAAUAAAAGUUUUAGCAGAAUCCACACUUUGAUGUAUUUUAUAAACUGCUUCAGAUUAUCUAAAAUUGCUUUCCAGGGCCAGAUGUCUUUCUUUCAAUAUUUCAAGGCUCAUGAACCUAAUUACAAGCUAACCUAUUAUAUGCUACCUUGCAAUGUCUCAACCUAGGUGUUAAGAAAGAGACCUGGUAGUGCCUCAGAAUAGCUGUGACUCGUUCCCUUCUUACCUAUAAUUAUAAGAAGAACUUGUAUAAUCUGUAUAAUUUACUUGUGUGAUAAAUCCAUUCACAGAAAUUUCUAAUACACAAAACAAAUGCAAAACAAACAAAGUCAAACGUGCAUAUGGUUGCAGCAGAUACUCAUAGGCAAACCUUUAUGGAGUGGCAAGGAAGUGACUUAAGGUUAAAAAAAUAAUAAUAAAUCAUAGAAUUAUAGGAUGGUUUGGUUUGGAAGGGACUCUUAAGAUCAUCUAGUUCCAACCCUCUGCUAUAGGCAGGGACAGCUCCCUCUAGACCAGGUUGCUCAAAGCCCCAUCUAGCCUGGCCUUGAAUCCUUCCAGGGAGGGGGCAUCCACAACCUCACUGGGCAACCUGUUCCAGUGUCUCACCACCCUCACAGAAAAGAAUUUCUUCCUGAUAUCUAAUCUAAAUCUAUCCUCUUCUAGUUUAAAACAAUUUCCCCUCAUCCUGUUGCUACAUGCCCUUAUAAAAAAUCCCUCCCCACAUUUCCUGUAGGCUCCCUCCAGGUACUGGAAGGCUGCUAUAAGGUCCCCCCAGAGCCUUCUCUUCUCUAGGCUAAAGAACCCUGGUUCUCUCAACCUGUCCUUGCAGGGGAGGUGCUCCAGCCCUCAGAUCAUCUCCAUGGCCCUCCUCUGGACCCACUCCAACAGCUCCAUGUCCAUUUUGUGUUGGGGGCUCCAGAACUGGAUGCAGGUGGGGCCUCACAAGAAGGGCAGAAUCACCUCCCUGAACCUCCUGGUCACACUUCGCUUGAUGCAGCCCAGGGUACAGUUGGCCUUCUGGGCUGCAAGAACACAUUGUUGGCUCAUGUUGAGUCUUUCAUCCUCUGACAUUGCCAAAUCCUUCUCCUGAGGGUUGCUCUCAAGCCAUCCUCCUCCUAAUCUGUAUCUGUGUUUGGGAGUGCAUUGACCCAGGUGCAGGACCUUGCACUUGGCUUUGUUGAACUUCAUUCUUGACUGUGUUGUUUGGAACUCUGCAAUUCAUGUCCUCAGAGUAAGGAGGAAAGAGAGAAGCACAUCCUCUACUCUAGGUGUGUCAGGCUAGCAUGUCAGAGUAAACUGCCAGUGCUCGUGUGCUCACUUGAACAAACUGCAGAGGAUGUUGUUGACCACAGAGCUUUUGCUGCUGUUUGUAUCUGACUGCUCCAUGGCCAAGCUGGCCCCAACAUCACUCAUCAGUUUAAGCUGUUGUUUAUCAACAGCAGCGCCAGAGGAUCUAACUGUCUGAAUUCCCCUGUCAGAGAGUAAUAUACAGGGUUUUCCAGGGGAUUUAGAUUUUUAUUGCUUUUAUUUAUAGAGACUGCUCUAGAAGUUUAAUUGGGCCUGAAAUUUUUUACAAAGCCGGUGGCUGUAAGCAGUUUCUGUAACUAUCAGUGACAAGAUGUUUCUUUUCAAAUAAACCAGAAAAGCUCCUGUAUGUAGCUAGGAAGUAAUUUCAUUAAGACAGAAACUGCUGACGGUUUCAGCUGUAACUUAUGACUGGAAACUAUUCUUUCUCUGUUCAGAAAGGUAAAAUAAAAAUAAUCUGAACUAACUCAUACAUUUACAAAUGCUUGUUUGCUUGAUUAUUUACAAUAAUGUUUUACUACUAAAUAAAUAUUAUUUAGUUUAAUAUAACUAAAAUGGUUUCAAUCUGUGCUCAUUAUUAGUGAGGAUGACAUGUUUUUACCCAUGGUUAGAGUACUGAGUUCAUCAGUAAUUUUAUUCAGUUAGGACCUAGCCCUAAACUGAAUACACAAAGAAAUGCAGGAAAAUUGAGGAGAACUAGUGAUUUUGUUAAACUUUCUAAUUAACUAGGGAUGCCACUGUACUUAGAACUUAAGUCUUCUCUUUAUAAAAAACAAAAGUGAAGUUGUUUCUUUAACUAGAUAAUAUUGUUCUGGGUCAACAUGUCAGUCAUCAGAACACCCUGAAACUUAACAAGAGUAUAGACAAGGCUAUCACAGGACAAUCAUGAUCAGAUCAAUGAUCCAUAUGUCUUGUCACCUCAAAUCCUAAAAGGACCAGUAAAAAAUACAUAUACAAUAUAACAACAAGGGAGACCCACUUCUCUAUGAAUUUACAAGGGAUUUCUAAAGCCCAAAGCAGCGAUUUUCACUUCAAUAGCCUUUUGGGGGAGGGGAGGGUUAUCCAUAAGUUUGUCUAAAUGUUUUUUUAAAAGCAUAUAAAAUUUUAGCUUCUUCUCAGUCUUGUGGUAAUAAGCACAAUGGUUUCACUGGCUUUUGAGAAAGACUGUAUUUCAGAAUCUAUGAAUAUGCCACCUGCUGCCAACUACUUUCGCUGCUCUAUUGCUUCUGUGUUAAAGCUGACUGAGAGUAGUUUUUGCCAUUCUUGAGUAAUCUUUUCUUAGCUAUUACUGUUAUUAAUCCAGUCAACAUUCUAGAGAGCUGGUAUUUCCACAUUUGAGAGGGUAUUAUACUCAGUCAAAUGUGAAGUUUUGGGAAUUUAGCAGAUGUAUAUGUACAUAAAUACUGUGGGCAUCAGUGUGUUUCCAAUGUUUUUUUAUAGUGAUCUUUAGCCAUUGUCAUAUUUUGGUCCAUCUAUAUAGCACUCAGGCUUUCUGUUUGGGUCUAUCUGGAACCUUAUGCCAGCUGACUACAGUAGCAACAGAUUUGAUUUUUUUCUUCUUUGGAAAAUUAGGAUGAAGUACUUUAAAAAUUGUUUUGGUAGAAUAACCUUUAUAAUUUGAAGUGUUUUUAAGUUUCAUUGUGUUUAAUUUCUAUUAUUUCUAGUAUGUAUUACUUGUGUGAUGGUAUCUCUGUGCUACACAAUGCAGAAACAUUAUAAAAGUCUGCCACAUUCUGUAUCUGCUUGAAAGUGACUGGAAUCUGAGGUUGAAAAGAGCAUAAGGUUUCUGAAACAGCUAGGAGCAAUAUGAGAAGCUGUGAAAUAACCCUCACAGUGGUGUGUGUGUGCAGCAAAGCAAGGGUUGAAAGAAAGCAGUGAGAUUGUUUCCUGGGUGUACACAUAAAUACUUUCUCAUAUAAGAUGAGGUAUAGGAAAAGAGUGAUUAAAAAAAAAAAAUUAAGCUGUCCAUAACCUACUCGAUUUUGAGUAUCACUUCCCCCUUCUAUAACUUUUGUUGUAGUUCAGUUUUUAUUGUCAUACAGCUAAGUAAUCCCAGAGAAAGCAAGCAGAUAUUGUCAUUAUAGUUGUAAUUACGAGACUUUGAUGUUUCCAAUAUCUCCUUGUUUUAAUUUGAAGUGUGUGAAGGGUCAACUUGAACUAUAUGGUUGGCCUGAUUAGGGGUUUCACCCAGCAGGUGACUGAGCACCACACUGUCAUUUGCUCGUUCCCCAUUUCCCAGUGGAAUGGGACAGAGAAUAAAAAAAGCUCACAAAGUAGAACUUGUGGGUUGAAAUAAAACUAUUUACUAAGGUAUAGACAAGGAAAAGGAUAAUAGUAAUGACUAUAUAUGUAUACAUAGAUAUAUGAAUGUAUACAACAAACAGUUGCUCACCACCUCUCAACUGAUGCCCAGCUAGGUGUCCAGACAGUGGAAGAGAGAGAGAGAGAGAUGAACUCCCAUCCCCUUCAAAACUCCUUCUGCAUGAUGUCAUACGGUAUGGAAUAUCCCUUUGGCCAGUUUAAGUCAGUUGUCCUAUUUCUGUUCCCUCACAACUCCUGCAAAUGGCCUUGCCUCUGUACAACAGUGCUUAGCAGCAGCUAUAAACACUGGUGUGUUGUCAACACUGUUUUUCUCCUAGAACAAAAAGAUAGCAUCAUACCAAAUACUCUGAAGAAAACGGUUGCAUCCCAACUGAAACUAAGACACCUGUGCAAUAUCAAAACAUAGUAGUAAAGGUUUAUAUAGCUCAGCUAUGACCAACUACAGAAGGAAAUGUGUAUCAACUUACUGUGCCUUUUUUUUUCUUCUGGAUUUAGCCUCAUACUGUGAGUACAGGCAGCUGCGAGGAAGCAAACAAACAAAAAAGGCAGCCAUGAAUCUUUUGGGAUACAGUAAUCUGAUUAUGACUUUCUCCCAGCUUUCCUAGACACUUUUGGAAGGUUUUGGAGGUUUUCCCCCUUCUAUCUGUUUAGGCUGCCCAGGGGGAAUUGUCAAAAGAGGAACUGCAAAGCUAACAAAUCCUUUGCAGUUUCAAUCAUAUGUCAGCUGCAGAAUGUCAGGUUUAGGAACCUAGGAGAAACUGGAGCUGGAAGUCCAGCCAUACUCUUCCUAUUUCCACCAGUCUGGCCUGAAAUUACACCUUCAUUGUAGUUAAGUGCAUCAUCUGAAGAAUGAGAAAAAUGGUAAAGCCAUGAAUGAAGAGAGAUUGGAACAACAAAACAGACAGUGAGAAGUGUAUAUGGAGUGGUGUUCCCCCUUACUUUGCCUUGCCUUGCCAUUUUCCCUCCCCUUUCCUUUCCCACUUGCCUCCUUCAUCUUUCCACUUUCCCCUUCCUCUCCCUUUGUCUAUUGGUAGUUUGCAUGCUUGUAUGUUAACUCUGAAGAUAAUACAAUCUCAUUCUCCCAUAGUAUCAAUCUCCAGCCUGUGAAUCAUCAUGAAGCCUGAAAUAUUAUAUAUACUAGGUAACAAGCCUGGUAUAAUGUAACAUGAGUUCAGUUCAAAAGAUAGCAUGUCUGAUUAUAAAUGGUACCCAUUUUUCUUGGGUUUGUGUGCCAUUUGAGUAAGCGUGUUGGCUUCUCUGUACGAAGUGAGGCAGCUGGAACAGCUGCUGGCCUUCCCCUAGCUCAGUAGCCCUCUACUGACCAGUUGUUGCCUUAGUUCAUAAGAUACCUGCCUUUUGUUUUAUUAUAUUGUAUGAUCAGAGCAUUCCUAAUGAGAAAAUGUCUCUACAUACUGCUUUUUAUAUGAUACAUAUCUAGACUGUAAAGGAUGAAAUGCUGUACUCAUGCAAACCAUUUGGCUACCACGCAUGCAAGGAUUAAAGGCAGAUUUGAAGUGCAGCCACAGUGAAAUUUGCCGCAACCUCUCAGAAGUUUUGGUAGUACCAUUGUCAUGUUUGCUGCACUGUGCAACUUUUUAGAUAAGCAAUGCAUCUUAAUACACUUAAGCAAAAUGUGAGCUGUUCCCAUGAGGUGGUGCAGAGGGGUUUAUCAAAGACAUGGAGCGUUCCUGGAGCCUGUGAUCCUGGUUGUGAUCAAAGUGGUAUCUUGAUUGCUUUCAGUGGCAAUACAACUUUUAUUUAAUUUGUUUAGGUGCAUUUGUGAGCUGUAUUCUCUCAUGCAUGCAGCUGAUCAGGUGAGACAAGUUAUCUAGUAGUCUCUUAAUUCAGUUAAUAUUGAUUACAAGGAGCAAUUAUAAAUUUCAGAAGAGGUCUUUUUAACCCCUCUAUUCAUUUCUGUAUUCAUUUCAAGUACUUAGUGUCCAAGUAUUGUUUCCGUGUAUCCUACCAUAGGAUUCCUGACAAGUUCAAGGAAUAUUUUAGCCAUGCUUCAGACUGAACCCUACACUCUACAUACAGUUCUUAGUCUCUUUCUUCUUAGACCCUUGCAGUUGAUGUAAUUUUCCUUCAGGAGCUGUCUCCAUGGAUGCCGGGUGCUGCUGCAUCCCCACAUGGGUGCUGCUGGGGAGGAAGCUACGCCACUGGUGCACCAAAUGUACCUAGGCCAGGAACCUACCCCACUGAUUCCAAAUUUUCUUUCUGGCAAAGUAAAAAUACAUAUUUAUAUAACUACUGACAAUUUUCAUAGGGAAAAAAAUGAAAUAAUAAUAAUUUAAAAAAUCCAGGUAAAAUAUUUUGUCUGGUAUCUUUGGAAGGCUCCAUGUAGGCUGACUUACCUGCAUGUGGUCUUUCCGGCAGUUUUACUCCGUCCUUAUCCUGCCAUCUAGCGUUUAAAUUGUUGAAUUUCAACUUCAUCAAAGCGAUGAAGAAACUAGGUUUAGGAUUGAAAAAUUAAAAGCUGUGAAUGAGAUGAAGAAAAAGCAUGUGAUACUGUGAAAUAAUUGUAACAAAAGUAACAGAAGACUCAGUACAAGUGAUGGCUUUUGUAUUCUUGAAUACAGCUGCUCUUGUGGGCUAUAAAUUCACUUGCAGAGCUGUAAAAUUUUUUAUUACGUUCCCAUGAUUUUACACUUUUCUUUGUUUACUUAAGAGACAGUGUUUUUUUCAGGAGUGAAUCCAGAUGUUCUUUGGACUACAUCUGUUGCCAUAAAUAGGCACUGUUUGCUUUAGAACAUUUCACAUUUUCUGUGUCAUGCUUGACUUUUGAAUAAUUAGUUGAUUAUAGGGACUUUUAAAACUAAUUAUAAAAUAAAUGGCGGUUGUCUAAAUCCAACAAGGUUGGGUCGUCUUUAACAGUAAGGUGGAGAAAGUUGUUUAACCAGAAGUUAUGAUGCAGCAUAGUCUUCUGUGUCCUCUGAGAAAUUCUGGAACAAAAAUUAUAUCAUUUUAGUACAAUUUUUAAUGUAUUUUGUAUAGGUUUGCAAUGCUUUUCGACAUGGCAAACUGAAGGAAAAACACUGGCUGUAUUAGAGACAACAGUGCAUUUUAUCUGGAAAACUAGGCUGUGCUGUGUUCCUGGAUGGAAACCACUUACUGAUUUCUAGUAAAUCUGUGGAGGUAGAAUUGAAUACAAAAGUGGAAGCAGUAGAAGUAUUUAUUAUUCUUGCUACCCUACAAGCAAGAGAAAAUGUUGGGAGAAUAAAGGCAAUUAAAAGAAAGACAGGAGGAAAUUCAAGGGGAAAGAAAUAAAAGAAAUACUGAAUAAGAAAUGCUGAAUAAGGAUCAGGUCCAUAAUCAUUCAAAAAAUAAUAAAAUCAGCUGUUUUUACUAAUUUUUGUGACAUUCACUGAGCUGCCUGCCAUGAAGGCAUGCAGAGAUUUUUGUUUUCUUUAUAAAGACAUACACUUCAUGCAUGUGGAAGUCCCAAAAUAUUAUUUUGAAGCUGCUUUGCAGGAUACUUAAAACCAUUUAAAUAACAUAGGUUUCAAACCAGUCACACCAGAGCCCAGAAAUUUUCUGGUUAUUUUACAUAAGAGAUGAAACGAUGUCAUUAAACUGUUGUCAUGUUGAGCAGCAGAGGAUAGCACGGAUCUCCAGAAGAAAGAGGGAUAAGGAAGGAAGGUGUAUAUUGUAUCUCCUAGAUGAUUCUACACUUUCACUUUUCUUUGGACUUGGAUAUGUGUGUAUAUAUAUAAUUUGUUUCUGCUGGUUACUAGAAGAAUUAGGGGCAUUUGUGAAGAAAAAAAGUCUCUUUUGCUUGUGAAAGGUAGCAGGUGACGAGACAUUAAAAAGAUAGAGUGGUCAUGAAGUUUUUCCUAACAUUUAUCAGCAUAUUUUGAAUUGUAGAUAACAUCAUCAAUCUGUUCUUUUCUAUUUUGAAGAGAAGGAAGCAUAUCUUGCUUGUGUACAUUUCACACAAUCACAGAGGUUGGGAAGGGAUCUCAAGAGAUCAUUGAGUCCAACUCCCUGCAAAAGCAGGCAACCUACAAUAGGUCUCACAGGUAGGCAUCCAGAUGAGUCUUGAAUAUCUCCAUAGAAGAAGACUCCACAACCUCUCUGGGCAGCCUGUUCCUUGCUAUAAAGAAGCUCUUCCACAUGUUAGUACGGAAAUUUGUACGUUCAAGUUUUAGGGCAUUACUCCUUGUCCUAUUGCUACACACCACUAAGAAGAGCCAGGCCUCAUCUAUUUGCCUCCCACCUCCCUUUAGAUAUUUAUAAGCAUUUAUCAAAUACCUUCUAAGUCCUCUUUUCCCCAGGCUGAACAGACCCGGGUUACUCAGCUGUUCCUCAUAUGGGAGGUGCUCCAGGCAUUUUACCUUCUUUGUGGUCCUCUGCUGGACUCCUUCUAUGAGAUCCCAAUCUUCUUUGAACUGGGGAGCCCAGAACUGACACAGUAUUCUAAAUAUGGCCUCACCAGGCAGAGUUGAUGGAGAGGAUCACCUCUCUUGACCUGCUGGCCACACUUUUUUUUUAUGCACCCCAGGAUAUCAUUGGCCUUGGCCACAAAGACACACUGCUUGCUCAUGACCAAACUGUUAUUCAUCAGGACCCCCAGGUCCUUCUCUGCAGAACUCCUCUCCAGCAGGUGAUCCCCUCACUUGCACUGAUGCAUGUGGUUAUUCUUCCCAGUUGCAAGAACUCAACACUUGCUAUUAUUAAACCUCAUCAUGUUCCUCCCUGCCCAACUCUCCAGUCAGUCCAGAUCUUGUUGAAUGAUAGCACAGCUUUCUGGUGUGUCAGCCAAUCCUCCCAGCUUUGUAUCAUCAGCAAACUUGCUGAUGCUUCUUUUUUAGUUUUAACAUUUUAACAUUUGAAGUACAUUAAAUGGCAAUAUCUUAUUUCAGACACUUAUUUUAUCCAAGUAUAACACAAGUUUUCAUCUUUCCUCCAGUAAAGGAAUACCCCAUCCUCAAAGAGCUGCUUCAGCAGCAUCCCUGAAGGCAUUGCAGCAUUCUGUGGCAGCUCAGCUUUGAACUGUAACCCACAGUCUUUUUUUUUUCCUGCUUUCUGGAAAAUACAAUCCUAUCUGCUGCUAUUUAAAUUUGUGUACUUAAGAAGUAAAAAAAAACUGUUUUGUUUUCUGUCAGAUGGUCCACAUAGAUUUAAAAUGUGACUUUGUUUAUGGAGAGGGAUAUUUGCUCCUUCUUGCUCUAUCAAACAUAAACUUUAUUUAUGUUUUAAACUAUUCUAUCUGUAAUCUCUUUCAUGUUUUUAUUUUCUGGUGUAAAGCAACUUAUAACCAAGAAAAAAUAUGUAGUAUGUAGACAUCAAGGGCCAAGUGCUCAUUUUUGUUGCGUUCACAAGCUCUCUAAGAAUAUUGCUUACUGUUUGCACAGAAGGCCCUUGUCCAGUAAGUCGUAUCUGUGCAAACAUAUUCUUGCAGCCAUUAAAUUCAGUUGAUUUGAUCAGAGUUCAGUCACCCAAAAGUACCUCUUACAGUACAUUUUAUAACACUCAUCAUCUGGCUUUCUCUUUGUUCCUUGUAUAACAACUUCUCAACAUCCAGAUGUAUCCAAAUUCUGCACAGAUAAACAGGAUUAGCUGUUUUCAAAUUGAAGUAAACAUACUUAUUCUGAAUUGUCAAACCUGUAUACAUUAUAAAUGCAGUAGUAAAAGUUGAUGGAUAGAUAAGUUCAACUGUAUAUGGAAAUGGAACAAAAUAGCUCUGUUAUUUUUCCAGUUGACUGCAGAAAAAAUUUGUUUCAUGUGUGAAUUUGCAUCUCAAAAAGAAGAGUUGCUGUUUGCUAUGCAGUAAUUUCAAAUCCUUCCUCUUUUCCUUUUUGCAUACCUAAUUGCUUUGUCUUUUUGAUUCAAAAUUUUAAGCAGGUAUCUGGAUAAUUCUCCACAUGCUUAAAAAAUGAAAUAAGAAAUGAUUGUUUAAUUGCCACUAGUAGAGAGGUGGAAAAAGACAAAAAAAAAAGAAUUCAAUUUACAUCUUGAAAUAUCUUUAAGGUUGCUCUGAUAUGCAUUUUAAUGUUGCUACAAUAAUAGGCUUUCAUGCUUUUUCCCAGAUAAUGGGAACAUUUCCACUGAGAGAGGGACCAAAGUACCCAUCUGUAAGAGUACAGUUCUACCCUUUCUUCAGCGUUCUGCUCUAGAGCAAAAUGUUCAGUGUGUUCAAACAAGCAUACAGUAUGUGUUUUGCAGGGCACUUUAAACAAACAUUAUGUAACUCUGAAAGAGAACAAGAUAAAGGGAGGGGAUAUUUUGCCCUUUGUUCAUAACAACUGACUGAUGUAUUAUAGAACAGCAGACAGAGAAGGAGCCAUGCCAAUGCAUAAAGCUGUCUGGCCAUGAUUCCUUUCUCCCUCCUCACCCAACACACAUUUCUUCCAGUGACUGCAGCUGAAGAAACAUGUAGAGGUUGAGAUUGAUCCUUUUUCCUCCCUAUUAAAUAACACAUUUGAAGAACAGUACGGAAAUGGCCACCUCAUCAUCUUGUAUGAGCUGAUUCACUUGGAAUUAAUUACUUGUUUACUGCUACAAAUUAUUGGAGUUAACUCAGCUCUAAUAAUACACAUAUCUAUUGUUUUUUUUCACUGUUAGAACCUCAAAUUCUGAUAAUCCUUUCAGGAGGGAAGAUCAGUGCUAUAAGCAGGUUUUCUCACAGCAACCCAGAAGUGAGAAUAGACACUGCUCAAGGGGAUGGUGGAAAGGGAAAAUAGUAAGGAAGAAAAGAAGAUAAAUGUAAUAAUAUAUAUACAUUUUUAAUUUUUUGGGUAGGAUAACAGAGAAGAUGGUGAGAAAUUUAAAUCAUUACGUUGUCCUAUCCCAGUCAGUAGUAAUUGAAGAGUCUUAGUUUCUCCAUGGUGUGCUAGUAGCAGAAGACUGUAAAUUCAAAGUAUAAAUCUUUUUUUUUCAGUGCUUUCAAUCAUUUCAUUAUCGUCUUUCAGACAAGGGUCCCUUCCUUGGACCUUGAUAAACUCAAAAGGUGGGUCCUUGUGAACCUGAUGAAGUUCUACAAAGUGCAAGGUUUUGCACUUUGGUCAACAUAAUCCCAGAUAUGUACACAAACUGGGAGAAAAACCUCUUUGAGAGCAGUCCUGUUGAUAAAGACUUAGAAGUUCUGUUUGAUGAAAAACUUAACAUGAGCCAGCAGUGUGUGCUUGCAGCCCAGAAAAACAAUGGUAUCCUGGGUUCCAUCAGAGGAGAGGCAGCCAGCAGGGCGAGGAAGGUGAUUAUCCUCCUCUACUCUGCCCUCAUGAGGCCUCCAAUACAGCAAAGUACAGCGUCCAGGUCUGGGGCCCCCAGUACAGGAAACAUGUGGAGCUUUUGGAGAUGGUUCACACAAGGGCUACAAGAAUGAUCCAAGGUCUAGAGCACCUCUCCUGUGAAGAUAGGCUGAACAAACUAGGCUUGUUCAACCUGGAAAAGAGAAGGCUGUGGGGAGACCUCAUUGUGGCCUUCCAGUACUUAAAGGGAGUUUAUAAACAUGAGGGAAAUCAAUUUUUUACAUGGGUUGGUAGUGACAGGACAAGGGGGGAUGGUUUUAAACUAGAAAGAAGAUUUAGAUUACAAGUCAGAGGGAAGUUCUUUACCAAGAAAGUGGUGAGGUGCUGGAACAAGCUGCCCAGAGCAGCUGUGGAUAAACAACAUCUAGGAAGAAAUUCCUACAUACAACUUCACAAAUUCAGGUUACUCUUUGACUUUCUGAAGCCACUUAAAUAUUUUCUUAAUUCCACGUUACAGUUGCAAAACUUUACUGUAAAUAAACAUAGCUCUUAGUGCUAUGUUUGGCUAUUGGUAAGAAUAUAUAUUUAAUAGAUUUACCAUUUUUUGAAUUUUAUUCUUCAUUUUUCCACAUGGACAAUGAAAAUCAGUGAGAUAUAUUUAAUUUUCAGAAUGCAAAUAAUACUUUCAUGUCACUGGCUCUCUAAGGCAUCUGCAAUGCAUCUACAUUCAAUCUCUGCAUAUCCAAAACGUGUUGAAUUUUAGGCUUUUUAACAUCCGUAUUACUGGUACCCUUUUCAAUUGUCAGAAACAUUUGUAAUGUUAUUCAAGAAAAAAAAUUGUUUUGACAAAAUAUGUAGCUUAUAGACAAAAUACACAUUUUAAGAGAUGUUAUUUCUUUUUCGAGCAUGACAUUAAUAAAAAAACAUUUUGUAACUUCCUUCCCUGUAAAUACUGUUGUCUUCUUUAAUAAGUGUAUGAAGACAUAAAGUGCUACUCUUUGUUUAUAAGCGACAGUCUUCUCCCAUUGUUAAUAGCAUUUUCUGCAGACGCAUGAAUCUGGCAGUAAAGGUAAAAGACAUCUCUUAUGCUUCAUUAAAUAUCCUAGUUUUUUUGCUGAUAUUUCUUUUGAUGUUAUCUGUUAUCUUCUCCGAAACUCUCCUGCUGCCUAUGAGAAUUUCAUAGAUCAGUAAUCGGAAAUGAGAUUUUUGAUGUUCAACCCUAACUCUGCUGCUAGACAUUACAUACUGUGUGUGAAGGUCAGGUUACCAUUGUCUCGGAGUAUGAAUGUGGAAAUACAGUGUACAGACUAUUUAUUUGUCUUUAGAGAGUGGUUCAAUUUUGGGAAGAAAAGCAGAAAUGUAAAGUACUUUCCAAACUCCCCCCCGCUGCUGUGCCACCCCAGAGGGCAGGCUGCAGGCCACAACAAGGCAGGCCAAGCAGCUGUUGGACAGCAGCUGAGUACAGAUGUGGAUUUCUUCCAUUCCAAAGGCCAGGAGAGGUGGGGGUGUUUGUAGCUACUUCCUGGGGUCUUGGUGCCACUCAUAUUCAAGUAACAUGCUUGGAAAUAUGUAUGUAUCUUGGCUAGUUUUUCUUCUCUUCUGCUUGCUGCUAUGGCAGAAGUACUCACCAUGAUCAUGGACAAUUCAUUUAUAAAGCUCAUGGAAGCAAUUUGUAUGAAGAUCAAAAUAAAAUCCAGAAAAACUAUCCAGGAAACUGAAGGAAAUCACAGAAUCACAGGGGUUGGAAAGGACUUCUGGAGAUCAAGUCCAACCUACUGCUAACGUGGGUCCCUACAGUAGGUUGCAAACAUCUGUAACUGUUUUUCUUGACUUUUUUUCCCCCUAAAAUAUCAUGCUGGAACAAACAACUUGUUUUAUGUGUUUCCUUAAGGUCAGAUUUUCUUCCAGGACAGAAAAAACCAUUUUAAACUAAGCCCACAAAAUUCCUGUGUAAAUUCGGUGGUAGUUUUCCCUUCUGAUUUAAGGGUGGUUUUAUGUACCAGGAGGUGGGUUGGUUGUCUGAGCCUUCCCUUCCCAUGUAAAGCUCUGAUAUGUUGUCCAUGCUGCUCAUUAUCAUCAGCCACAGUGUGCUGGAUCUCAGUAUUUAAUGAGGGUAAUGGUGAUUUGCAGGCAGCUGGAAAAAGGACUAUGACUUGAUUUCCUUUCUUAUUUCAGAGUCCAUUUCUCUGCUUUGCUGAGUGUUUUUAUCUGAUUGUGCACAUUCCGACAUCUCUAGAUGCUCACAGCACUUCUCAGCUGAUGGCUGUAUUUUGUAUAACUCAUUCCUUCCACAGGUUGUGGCUUUGCUCCUAGAAAUUGCAUAGGUGUCUCAUGAAAGUGAUUAAAGCAACUCUAAAGGAACACUAUUGAUUUAAACCACUUAGGGAGUUGGCUCAUAUGUUAAAAGCCAGUAGUCUAAAAAUAAAGGAUAGAGGUCUUGAAGUGGAAGCAUGAUGCUAGAUAUUUAUUUUGAAAACAAUGACAAAGAAGGUGGAACAGGAAUUGGGGAUUUUGCCAAAUCCAAUUAGGAAGAACACUAUGGGGGAAAAGGAAGAACAUUAAAAAGAAUGGAGGGAAGCAGAGCAUGAGGUGUAAAUUUUUCAUCAUGAGAGAUUAUUCAAACAGAGCUGAUUCAGGGCUUCUCAACAUCAUAGACAAACAUAAAUUUUGCACUCCCAGCUGCUGUCAAGUAGAAUUCUGACAAAGUACUGGCUGAAUAGCAAAGAAAAUUUUUAGCGUUGCACUGACUGUGCUUGUAGCCACAAGGCAGUCAAAAGGCAUGAAGGCUGAACCAGCUCUUGGGGGGAGGAUAGUGAAAAUGAGGGAUGCAUCCUUCCAGAAGAGCCUGCUGCCACCCUUCCUUUGACUUGCACUCAGUCUCAUUUUCCAAGGCUGUGACACAGGCUGACAAGUUAAUGAAGCUGUAUCUGGUCUUGCUGGGCAGAUGGAGCAUUGGGCAGGGCACGCUGUAUUCAAUGCUUCCUCGGUGUGAAUGAAUAAAAUAGAUCAUACCUUGUAUAAAUAAUCUUGUUAGUUUAGAAUUUACAUUCUGAGACCUGCGUAAAUAAAUGUUGAAUGAGGUUACAACACUUGGCAUUUCAUCUAGAAUCCUCCUAAGCUCCUGAGUGUGGACUUGAGGGGAAUACCCUAAGCUAAGAUCAUGGCUUCUUUCAUCCAUCAUGUCUGGUGGAUAUGUAAGAGUUAGUGGGAUAACAGUAAAGAGCAGAAGAUGUAGAAGCUGUGGAUAGCCAGAAGUGACAGAGAAGUGAUCAACCUUUUGAUUAAGGAUAUGUAAUCUCCUUUUUUUUACUGGGUUUAACAAACAGAACAGGAAGAUUUACAUUAAUUUCAGUUGUGAACUUGCUAUGCAUAUGCAUUUGCUAUGAAGAACAGUCAGCAGAAGACUGAAGUAUCACAUAAAUCAUUUACUAGCUGGAAAGUACAAAGACUGCCAGUAAGGCUAAUGUUUUGGUCUCUUGCCCCUUCACACCCUUCAUGAAGCAUGUUAAGUAAAAAUAUUUUGAGUUCUGUAUACCAAAAAUAAAUCCAUGAGAAAAGACUCUAUGUUUUGAAUGUUAAUGAGAUCCAACACAAAGUUGUGUUCUUUUAUCUUUGGACAUAAAAAAUGUUGGGUCUGGGAGAGAUAGAUUAGGAAGUAUUUUGAGGAUCAGUCCUUCAUUUAAUGUUUCUGAAGUACAAUAACUCUUGAAGGUAAAAUGUUUCAAAACAUAUUGAUUCCUAUGAGGAAAAAAAAAACACACCAGAAAAUAUAGAAGAAAAGCUGUUUUAGUGAACUUUUGAGACAUCCAGCCUCUGGAAGGUCUAUUGAACAAGGAGCUUUUUCCAUUCAUCUUUGUGAGGAAGUACGUUUGUUAGUCUUAAUUCAUCAGGAUAUGAAACAUUGAUCAUGACCCAUGAAAUGUUGUAUCCAGCUGAAAGUACUUUGUGUACAGAGAAUGGCUUUUAUUUGUUCUCAAAGGGACCUUUGGCAGACUUUCUUAAUAGUCCUUGGGCUGAUCACUGUGUCAGUUCAAGGGACUAGCAAGUAGCAGCUUGUAUAAGGGUGAUCAUCAUUCAGUGAUGUAUAGUAAGCAGAAACCACUUUUUCUUGUUCUCUUUGAAAACUUGUUUUUCUGAAGAUGUAAAGAGCUAAGGAGUUGUUAUCAGAGCAAAGGAUAAAGUGUUUUCAUAAGUUCCACGUAAACAUCACUUUACUUAAUUGAUUACUGCUUCAGUUAUCAGUGAGAAUCAGAGGAUGAAUUCACACACCACAUGAGUUACUUCAUUGCUGAGCUUCAGUGAUGAAAUUCCCAUCUAGUAUGAUUUUUAUUUUAAUUCAGGCUUAAUCACCCUUACUAACCAUUUGCUUUCUAAGCAUGAACUUAUAGUUCCAUCUUUUAUCCUUUCUUUUUCUUUGAUUUGCAGGCAAAUUUCCUGAGAUAUAUCCAUUUUCUCUUGCAUAGCCAUCACAAAAUUAUGUGAUGCAAAGCUCCUGUGGUGGCAGUUUUUAAUAUUUUUCACCAAAAGCUGUGAGGAAGUGACGGAGAUUGGUAGGCAUGAAGGAGGUUAGGACCCUCUUCCCACGCUGACUGCAGUGUUGAAUGUUGCCUCCAUUUUUCUUGAGGCAUUUCACACCGGACCUCUUCACCCCUCAUUUUCUGCAGAUCUAACACUUCCUAUUUCUCCUCUGCAGAAGUAACCCAAAGAUAGGUCUACCCUUCCGGGAAACUCUAAUACCACUCUUGUCAUAAGAGUUUUGACUAAGCAAACUAUCAGGCUGUUGGACACCUAAACUAAUUCUGAUUCGCCUGUAUCUAGCUUGCAAAGAAUCCGCAGAGAUUUUCCAUAGGUUUAUUUUUGUUCUGAAUGCAAGACAUCUGUGUACAUGCCAUGUAUGGAAGACUGGUUUUCACAGUUUUUCAUGUUUCUCUAGUUUUUCAUUAACAAAGUGUUUUUGAUACUGUUGAUUUUCUGCUUUGCAUGAAACAUUUUUUGGAAUCACCAGGAACUGAGUGCCUUGGUUGUUCUUCCAUGCCUCCAGAUAGUAAAUGGUUCUUUGCAAGGUCAUUUACUAGGUAGAUAAGAUAAAGGAGUAAAUGGCUAAGUAAGAAAUCAGAACUAUGUUUUGUCAUUUGAAAUGAGAGCAAUUGCCACCAGGAUAUUACUAGUUACCAGAGCUAUAUACAAGUCUGCUUUUGAACAGCCAUAAAAAAGCAGUCACCUUAAUAUACCUUUCCAUUUAUCCAUGGUUUAGAUGUUACGAUAAUUGCUCCUAAAUUUUCAUGACCCUAUACCUUUCAGGUGUUGAGAGCAGCUCUGCUAUGUGAUGCUCCUUCAUAAUAAAUAAAGUUACAGAAGCUAGUCAAAAGGGCAAGGGCUGUUUUCAGUACUGUUGCUCUUUGUGAGCAUGUGAGCCAAAUGCUUUGUGAUAUAUGUAGGUGGGUUUGGAUUUUACUCACCUCAAACCACUAAGGCCUCAACUCACCCAGGUCACCUAACUGUGGCAUUGCUUCACGUUUCAGUGAAUUCAAAGUAAAUUGACACCUUUGACAAUAGAGAUGGUUGUGUUGUCCCCAGUGCUCUCUGCCAGGCAUCACUUCCACUUCCCUUGAGCCAGCACUAAUAGUUGUAAAGCUACAUGGUCAGUUAGCUCUAAGAAUUGGUCGGAAUAACUCUGACAUGCAACUUAAAAAAAAAAAAAAAAAAAAAGGUUUUUGUCUUACCGAUUUCUUGACAUAAACAUCACAUUUUUUUCCUAUUUUAGUAACAUUUAAACUGUUUUGUUGCACAUUUACUGAUAUAAAAUGAUGACACUUAAAAAAUGCUGUUUGCAUUAAUACACUUCUAUGAAGGAAGGAUAACUCAAGUAAUUAAAAUCCUCUGAGAGUGUAUAAGCAUGUGUUAGAAUGCGUACAUAUUUGUCUAUGAACAUGCACAAAGGUAAGCACAUAUGUAAUACUAAAAAUGUGCUGAACUAGAUUUAAGGGAUUUUUUAGGUAAAAUUAUAAAGUAGAGAAGAGGUCAAGAAAUACAGACCUCAUCCUAGAAAACUGCUAGAAGAAAUUGAUCUGAGGAUACUAAGUUGUUUAGGUCCUUAUCACACAACAUAACUUCAGUUUAUAGGAUGAUCACUAAGCAUUGUUUCCAUAGUGCAGGCAGAAGCUAUAGCCAAAAACUGCAGAUGGAAUAAACAAGGGGCUUCCAGAAACAAAACAAAACUUUGAGGACUUACAUUCAUCCAAAUAUUUAUUGGUGACAUUGUGGCCCCAAAUUGUUCGCAGUCCUCAUAAACAAACUCAUUUGAAAGAAUGAAAGUUUCAAAUGCCAUGUAAAUUUACAUUUUUUUUCCUGAGACAAUCCAGCCAGUUAAACAUUGAAGCUCCCACCCCUUGAACUGAUUCCAUCCAGGCAAGUCAAGGUAGAAUGUUUAGUUUGUGCCAGCGCUUGGACAAGGGUUAUGGGACAGGGUGAACUGAAGUGUGUUAGCUAAUCACAACCUCCCUUCAGCCUCUUUUUCUAAACUAACUAAAACCUCUGGUGGAGAAUAAAGCAGUCACACCAAAUCCAUCAGAUCCUGCAGAGCUAUCAGUGACACUUAGCUGUCAGCAGUAUCAGAGAUUCUUGAUAACAUUAACAUGGACAUCUGACCUUUGUCCACAACAGAUGGAAAUCUUUGAUCAAGGGUAAAAGUGUUGUACUAAACUGACUAAUGUCUGAAAUCGAACUGAAAUGGUAAAAACAAGCAAAACAAAACAAAACAAAAAACACCCCUUGGACAAAACAAAAACAAAAAAGCACUCCCUGGAGGUAUCUGACACUUCCCUGAAUAUAAUACUAUGUAACUCUGUUAAACAUACCUUCAGUUAACAUAAAUUCUACAGGAGUUUAAAUAUUCAUAUUCUUAUAUAAGCAGAUUUUUUUGCUGUGAAAAUUAACGUACAGUUAAACCUUAAAGUUGUCUUUCAGCCAUCCCUUUAACUUCAUUAAAAUCUAUUUUCUAGCUCUGUAAUGUGUGAUAAAAUGCUUAAUUUAGGCUUCCCAGCAUGGGUCUUAAGGAAAUUAUUUCUCUUAAAUACACAAGGGUUGCUCCGAAAGUAAUGCCUCCCAUUUAUUUCCCUGAAAACUACAACAGCUACAAAAAGCACAAUAACACUGUUUGAUAGAGAAAAUUCUCAAUUACAAAAUACCAUUUUUCAAUACAGUCAGUCACCAACAUUAGCUAUGCAUUUUCACCAGUGAUGAAGAAGAGUCUGCAUGCCACACUCCUAAAAACCUGCACCAGUGGGGGUGACCCACUGUUAGGUGACCCACUGCUAAAAUACACCACCCACAGCCUCACUGUGCUCACAUCCAUUGUUUGGUCUUCAGAAACAUUCGACAACCACUGAUGAAUGUCAAUGGUUACAAUGUUUUCCACAUGGAGGAGUUCAGUGACGCACCUUUGCUUCAUAUGCACUUCCAUGUCAGACACCAUUUUGUCAGACUGCCCCUCAGCUGCCAUCUGUCACACAGCAACAAAAUCUAACAGAAUACUGGUGGGAAGGUUCAACCUCUACUGCCAUAAAAUAGAAGGCAUUACUUUUGGAGCAGACCUUGUGUAUUGAAAAAAGAUUUUAUAGUGAAAUAUGAGACAUCUGAGGAAUUCCUUUUAUGCGAUACGUGAUGCAGGUUAUAUCAAUCAUAGGUGAAAGGUAAGCCACGCUCUUCCACUAAUAAACAGCUAAAAAUUCAAAAGCCUUUUGCACAGUUAGAAAUUCUUUUUUAACCUUUGACAAUGAUCUAAAAUUUUAUAUCAUACUUAUUUUCUCUCUCUUUUUUCCCCCUCAUAUGAACACUGACCAAUAUUCUAAGGCCCUACAACUUGCAGCACUUAGUCCUGAUUUAUGAGAGUUAAUUACAUACACUUCUUUGUCAAAUCUAAACAGUUACAGAAUAUAGGCAGUGCUUUUCAUGGUAAACUCUUCUCCUGGUGAAUUUAAUAAAUCAUUUCAUUCCAGACAUUAAGAUAUCAGUGUAAAAUCGUAAUUAAAAAAAAAAAAAAGUAACCUGCACUUUAUGCCAGGUUCCACAAGAGGGCAACGUGUACCAGGCAUUGAGCUGCGACUGUGUUAUUAAAAUCCUUUCAUUGUUCAGCAGACUUGGAUGAAGUUCAUUGAUUUUUCUAUUUAGCAUUCUUCUGUAUUAAUUUGUACUGCUAUCUAAACUUUGCAGGUUGGUAGGUGUUAAUAGAAACCAAUCCUGUUUUGUAUGGUACUGAACAUGGGCGUUGUUACACGUGCUUAUAAUAAAUUACAAUUAAGGCUUAAUAGGCAUUUCAUUUAUCACUUGCACUGUCUCAAUACCAGCAGCCUUUUAUUCAAAAUGCCAUCGUGGCUAAAGGAAACUUGCAGUGCUUCAUAGAAGAUCACACAUUGGCAGAAUAUAUGUUAAUAUUCGUGUUGUAGAUAGGUUAACAGCAGUGUUAGGAAGUUUCCUGAAGAAACAAACAAAAAAUGCUUUGAUGCAAAACAGAAGGGUAAAACCAUUGCGGAAUACAUAGAAAAGCAACUAACCUUAUAAAGGAAGUGUGAUCUUUGUCUGAAUGGUCUUCUGGCAGUAGCUUGCAAGGGCAGGAGUCUGCACACUGGAUGGCGCUUUUCUCUGCAAAUAAUCACAGUGAAAUCAAUUACCACCUUAAUAGAAUAAGGGUGGUCCAAGCUGGUCCAAAACAGUUAAAUCAGUCCUGCAAGAUUUACUGCUGAUCAAUGCCAUUGGCAUAAAACUCACCAUCUCAUCUGUUCCUGAAAACUCACAAUCUACAAACCAAAGAGUUGAGCGUUUUUAUUUCUCUCAUUCUGAAGAAUAAGGACAUGUAAACAUCUUGAUUUUUUGUGUGUGUGUGUAUGCCACACAGAACAUGAUAAAAGCUUUAUAUAGCCCAACUUCAUGCAUCAAUAUUUAAGCAUUGAAAUGAGCAGUAUUAUUAUGCAGUAUGGUCAUUAAAUGCAGUAGGAUGCUCACUAAUAUGGUAGGAUACUGAAACUCUAGGAAAUGUAUUUAAUAUAUGUAAUAUAAUUCAUUUUCCACAUUUGAUUCUUCAGCCUGACGUGUAGGAUGAACAAUUUGCCGUAACAUAGAGAAAGCAUGACACUUUCAAUCAGUACUUAGAAAUAGAAAUAGCCAAACAUUUCCCUCUCAGAGUACUCAAACUGACUUCUUUCUUGCUUACAGUACUACCAUAGGAAGGGGCACAACUGUGCUGGAAAAAAUGGAAGCUCCCUAUGCAAAUACUCCAGAAAGCAAACAAAGAAUACUGCUUUUUAGGUUUUCUUUGAACAGUGCUCAUUGGAACAAAAAUUAUAAACUAUAUGCUGCUAUUCAAUAAGCUAUGAACUUACUGCCUUAAUUUAACUGUGCCAUAAAAAAGUGAAUCUGUGUGGAGAGUGAUUUCUCUCACUUAUGAAACAAAUGAGGCAAUGCAUAGCCAAGUAAACCUGGAUAUAUUUAAACUAGAGCCACAGAAGUUAGUCACAUAUAUGAAUUAUUCCAUAGUGAGCUCUAUGCUGUUACAGCUGGUUGACUACUAAAGCCCAAGCCAGAUAAAGAUUGGCUGGGUUAUCUCUGCGCUACAUAGCACUGGGUACAAUGUAGACAUGAUUUAACUCUAGCACAUCUGUUAUGUUGCAUUUAUCUUUGUUGCCUGAUAGUCUCAUUAUACGAUCUUUUUUUUCUCUUCUUCUAUUUGUCUCAUUUUUCCUUUGCUUUCUCCUUCAGUAGUGUGCAUCAGUGGUAUUAGGAGUUGUUUCAAUUAACUAAUUCCUACUUUUGUAAUCUGCUGGCCCGGUCAGAAAACUGCUUCUUACAAAAGUGAGAAUUUUUUGUCCUUAGAUCUUCCAGGUGCACCUGGAUGAAGUACUCCCCUGCCUGCACGUCCUUUCCACUGCAACAAGUUCUUGAUGUCAUUGCUUAUCACUGCUUAUCCAUAUCUCCUUGAACAAAAAAAAUAACAAAUGUAUAGCUUGUCUUCAUAAUAUUGCUAAGAACGAGAAUAUGGAGGCCAUAGUUAUAAACAGUCCUCUGAACCCAAAUCCUUGUUGUCAUAAGCAUUUUUGGCUAUGAAAAUUAUCCUUUGUGAAGUGAGAAAUUAAGUAAAAAAAAUGUUGAUUUGUUUUUUCUUACCAAAGUGUUCUUCUAGUUUCAAGAGCUGUGUUGUGUUUUUAAGGAAAUUAAGAUAGUUUUGUUUAUGAACUGUUACCACUAACAGCCUUUAUCAGCUCUAUAAAAUUUUGAACAACACAUUUGAAGCUGAAUAACAUGGAAAAGCCUUAUUAACUUUGUCUUAUUUUUUGGAAAUUUUCAAAUUCCACACUAGUAAAAUUUGAAUCAUUGAUGGAAAAAGUGUUUCUUGUAGCCCACAUAAGAAAAAAAAAUGUAGUAUUACUUUUUUUCACAUACUGAAAAAUAUGUUGCAACUGCCACGUUAAAGAAGUGUGCAUUGAAAUGAAAGUCCUUCUCCCUUUCGUUAAUCUUUCAAAAGUUUUGUUUCUCUGAAGCUACUGGUAUUCCCAGGAAAGGUAUGUGGGGCAAAAUGUCUGCUGAAAUUACUGAUGUCACUGAUCCCCUUAUUGACGGGCAGCCACAAUGUGUAGUUCAUAGGAAAAUACUAUGUAUUAAGUGCCUGGAUAUGUUCCAUAUCAUGGUAUAAAUUCUUGAUUUCAUACUGGGAGCAGAGGGGAAGACACUGCUCCUGUGUCUUGCUGUAUGCAUCCAGCUCUCAGUGCAUUACCCUAACCCUUUGAAGAUUAUAGAUAGCCUGCAAUAUAUACUGCUGCACAAGGGAAGGAUAUGAUCCUUUUAUUUUUCUUAUCUGGGAAACCUUUCCUGAUGGUAGGUCAAGGGUGUCCCAGGAGUAAUACAAUCUCUUCUGGAAAUUUCAAAGAACUCGAUUAUCUGCAAUUGACUGAGGACAUCUGUGCUGGCAUACUGUCUCCCUACCUAAUUGAUUAUCCUUGAUUCACACAGCUACAUUCAAAACCAGGGCCCCAGCUGUACAGAUGUCAUAGCUAACAUCCCCUUGCAUUUCAUCAAAAAGUUCUACAAGUGGUUUGUUUUCCAUCAGAGUGGUGAACAUUUGCAUAUACUGAUUGUAUUUCAUUAACUUUUUUUUCUUCUGUAGUUGCAAAAAACCUUAUACAACAUCACCCAGUAGCUCAUAGGCAACUAACUGGUUACUAAUAUACCUGUGGAAAAGCUAAAGCCAUCUUCACUAUUGGUUCUUGGGUAGCAAUAGUAAUAUACCAGUUCAGAAUGAGUGGAGACCUCUAAGGGCUUUGUCUGGAAAGCUCUCUUGGCUCUUCUCCCAGGAAGCUUGUUUCUUCAUUUCUCUAAAAAAAACUGGAACAUACAGUAAAACCCAAUAGUACGUGAUCAUAUCUGUGUUUUUCAGUGGGGUGGAUGGUCACUUUGACUUUCUCUGCCAGGAUUGUUCUCCUUUCUGACCUUUGCAGUUUCUCAUGUGCCCUGAUUUUAUAUAAAUAUAAAUUAUUGAAGAAAAUACUGGUAGCCAGUAGUCAGUCUAUUUGCUCUUUGUUGCUGACAGGUGUUUAUCAUCACUCUUUCCUGCAAAAGAAAUGUCAUCAGUCUUUAAUAUAACAUAUGGGAUACUUCUCAGCAUAUUUUCUGCUGCAGUAUACCAAGCAAAUAACAAAUAAUGUGAGUGGGUAUUACAGUAUAGUUUCUACAGUUUGCAAGUACAUAAGUAUGAAGUCUGUCAUUUUCUAUCUUAUGUUUCAAUAGCUUACACUUCUGUGGAGAGCAAAAAGCACUUAAUCAGUUAUAAGUUUAUGAUUCCUGCAGUUACGGAUUGUGUAACUUUGCAGAAAUGGUCUGUUAAAAGCAAAUGGAAAACACAAAAUGAAAAAAAUGAUACUAUUCUUCUACUUAUCUAACUUACCUUUAAUGUUGAUGGCUGAAAAAAAGAAUCUUCUUUUGAACUGACUAAAUACCAGUUCUUGGUGCCAAUCUUGGCUGUAAUACUUUCAGUGUAUUUUCCAUAAAAGUGAUUGGGUGGAUAUCCACAGCACAGUAGUUCUUCUUAAACCUCACUACAGGUUACGUUGAGUUUUAUUAGUGAUCUUAACUUAGUGUGUUCUGAAUAUCAGAACUAGGACACAAAGCUUACCACUUGGGUGAGGUCUCUCGUUAAAGUGGAGGAUUGUGGAUUACUUCUGAUUUUACAAAUAGGUCACUGCAUUGCAGGUAUGUUCAUUCAGCUGACCACAGCUGCUUACUUCUCCAUACCUAUUUCUACCUGUAGGUUAAAUACAUCAUUACCUGAUAAAAUCCAUCCUGCUGUCUUCAUUUUGGUGUGGGUAAGAGCUAAAGGGAGAAAAGAAGUUUCGGUUUCUAUGUUUCCCUCAGUGUAAAAUGUGCUGAGGAGAAUCACGGAAUGGUUAAGGAUAAAAGGAACUGGAGGAGAUCAGGGUUGAAGGCUGUCUGAUCCAACCCACCUGAGCAGGAACAUGCAGAGCAGGUUGCUCAGGUCCAUGUCCAGGUGGCUUUUGAAAAUCUGCAAGGAGGAGACUCUAAAACCCUCUGGGCAACCUGUGUCAGUUGUCUGUCACCCGCACAGCAAAGAAGUGCUGCAUGAUGUUUAGAUGGAACUUCCUGUGCUCCAGUUUGUGCCCAUUGCUUUCUGUUCUGGCACUGGACACCAGUGAAAAUAAGAUGGCUCCAACUUCUGCACUCUUCUUUCAAGUAUUUAUAUACAUUGAUAAAAACAUCCCUAGAGCUGCUUCUUCUCCAGGUUGAAGAAGGGAUCUGCCCACUUUGGCUAUUUGAUAGGUAAUAAUGUUAGGCUGAUCUGAUAGAAAAUUAGCGUAUAAGCAUUUCCACAACAGUGAGAGGAAACAGAAACCUUUAACAACUAAUUAAACAUUUAAAUGUAAUGGAAAACCUGUUCUACACCUUCCCCCUCCCCCGACCCCCCCCAGGGUUUUGAGAAGUUUAAAUUGCAGCUUGGCAGAAAUGGUCUUGGAUUUUCUACUAUCAUCUGAAGUCACUCCAUCUUGCAGCAUAUUUUCUAGACUAUUUCCUAGGCUGAGUUAUACACAGUUAAUUGUUUAUUUUCACCUAUUUUAGGCCUUCUCUUUGAUUAAGAAAUUGGAUGUUUUUAGCAAUUAUAUAUGACAUUGGUAUGUGCUGAUAUAACAGAGCUCUGAGGAACAAGAAUGGAAGCUGUCUUCAAAAAGAUGGCCACCCGGGAACUUGUGACCUUCUUCAGUCACAUCAUAAGAGAAUGGAAAGGAAACUCUCAGUUGUAUAACAGAAAAUAAGAAGUUAAAGCAUGGCUUUGUUCUAUUAAUUGCAGUAAACACCAUCUUUACCAUUUUUUCUUUUAAUCGCUUCUGCUGCAAAAUGCCAUCAAAUCAUUUGUUUGCGUCACUAAAUUACUAUUAUUUUUUUGCUUGAAAAACAAUUCUGUGUAUAGAGAAUUAGCCAGAAGAAGCAUUUCAGAUUACAAUAACUUCUGUCCAGCUUUGAAUUUUUGAAACUAAUCCUCUUCUAUUUGAAGCCUCUAUCUGUUGCCUGUACUGCUGCGCAAAUAGCAGCUUAACAGUUUAAUAGCAGUUAAUAUUCUUACUCCAAAAUCAG